rnacentral:lncRNA from 1 species
UUAUUUUUUAAAAUAUUUUCAGCAGUGAACCAAACACCCUUCCAUAGACAAUAAUAAUAACUAGCGUAGUAACCCGUGCGAUGCGAAAAGUAGAUAAUUGAAAAAAAAUAAAAAACGUUGAAAAAAGAAAAGAGAAAACAACAAUGAAAAACAAUAAUAAGGGAUGAGAUUUAUCUUGCUGAUGAACGAAGAUAACAGUCGAAGGAAGAGGAAGAGGAAGCGGAAGGACUUGAGCUGAUUCGAGAUGGAAAAUCACACUCAACCACGAAGGAAAAAUUAUCGAUCAUAUGGCAAUUAAUUUUAGGAGAAAUAAUGUAUAGUUAUAAAUAAUUGAUUAAUAGUGGUGGCUUAAUUAUUAAAUAACUUGGGCUACAAAUUAUACAAAUGCGAUGAGUUGUUGAGGACAAAAGGAGAGACAAAAAUAUUGCUUAUAAUAAUGGAAGGAACAGGACAAGAAUCUCGUGACAAAACCAAAUUACGUACGGCGCAACGGCUACAUGCGUAUGUGUGAUUCUAUAUGGAUUCGUCCUGUAUUAGGAUAUCAAUGGGUCGAUUCGGAUUGGAUACGGGACAGAUUUUUCAAAAUUUAAAUUCAAAUUCGAUCACCAAAUUCAAAAUUUGAAUCGAAAUUCAGAUCAGAAUUCGACGGAUUUUAAAAUUUUAUAUCCAAACAAGAACUCGAUCGAAGGUAAUUAAUCUGAAUCCUAAACAAUUAUUUUUCUUUACCGUACUUUCAAAUAUAUUACAUUAAUCGAAUAUAUAUAUAUAUAUAUAGAGAGAGAGAGAGAGAGAGAGAGAGAGAGAGAGAGAGAGAGAGAGAGAGAGUCCGGCUACUAUAUUCUUAUGAGUACGAUUGCGCUCGUACUCAUAAGUUAUUUUCGAUGAUAGAGCUUCCGAAUCGACGAUCCACACCGUUAAACAUUAUCUAGAACAUUUAAAACAUGUAGAAAUCAAAUUUUAUAAUUUUUUGACAUUAUUUACCUUAUGGUCAAAAGGUCAAAAAAUUGACAAUUUUUAACGACCGAUAUGGAAUAUUUGCUAGUUUAACGGUGUAAAAGAAUUGAAAUCAGUUGAAUUUUUGAUAGAAAAUUCUAUUCACUACAUAGAUAAAAAUCAAUAACUCCGAUCUUAAAUUGAAGGAUCUGAUCAUUUAUUUUUAAGACGUUGUUUGAUUUUGAUCGUUUAUUUUAUACCCACUUGAUGAACUUUAUUAUGAUUUCAAAACAUUACGAAAUUUAUUUUUUAAAGAUUCAAAUACUCUAGAUCAUAUUUAACCGAGUGGAUUGUCGAUUCGGAAGCUCGAUAAUUGAGAACAACUUACGAGUAUGAAGGGCUCUAUACUGAUAAGAGUAUAGUAGCCCUAGCCACAUAUAUAUAUAUAUAUAUAUAUAUAUAUAUAUAUAUAUAUAUAUAUAUAUAUAUAUAUAUAUAUAUAUAUAUAUAUACAGUUUACGUAUCAUUUGACAUCAUAUUACGUUAAAUUUGUACACUCUUUUAAUGUCAUUUAUUGCUCUUAUUUUAUUUGCACCAAAUUGAGAUUAAUACAAAAAUUGAGAUGAUGGAUAUUUAGUUGGAGAUGAUCACUCACCCAUUUAGGNAUAUAUAUAUAUAUAUAUAUAUAUAUAUAUAUAUAUAUAUAUAUAUAUAGUCUGAUUGGGAUACUAUCGAUAGCACCAAACACUUGGUGCUAUCGAGUUUUCCGCCGUCAGAUUUAAUCCUUUGACUAUUUUUAUCCGUUAGAUUAUACUAUUCAACCAACGGCUCACUCAAUCCUAGGAGGCCCACAUCAUCCUAACUGUACAUUUCUUUAUCAAAGGGCCAAAAACUUAAUAGCACCAAGGGUAGGUGGUGAUAGAUGGAAUAGUAUUUCAUUCAAAGACUAUAAUUAGUUAAAGAGUAGAUUUAAGGGUUAGAAACCUAGAAGCACGAAGGGAUUGGUGCUUCUAGGUGUAUAUUCUAGCUCAACUCUCUCUCUCUCUCUCUCUCUCUCUCUCUCUCUCUAUAUAUAUAUAUAUAUAUAUAUAUAUAUAUAUAUAUAUAUAUAUAUAUAGAACUAGGCUGGGAUACUAUUAAUACCACAAAGUUAUUUGUGCUAUUAGUUUUUUAGCCCUUGGAUUGAGAAAUGUGUGGUUAGCAUGAUAUGAUAUGGGCCUCCUAGAGCUGAGUGGGUGGUUGGUUGAAUAGUACAAUCUAACGGGUAAAAAUAAUCAAAGGGUUAAAUCUAACGGUGAAAAACUCGAUAGCAAAGUCUUGGUGCUAUCGAUAGUAUCCCAGCCGGACUCUAUAUAUAUAUAUGUUAGGGCUACUAUACUCUUAUUAGUAUAGAGCCCUUUAUACUCAUAAGUUUUCGGCCAUUAGAUGAAGAGAUGUGCGGUUAGGAUAAUACUGGUACUCGGUUAGGAUGAUAGUGGUCCUUUAGGAUUGGAUGAGUGGUUGGUUUAAUAGUAUGAUGUAACGGAUGAAAAUAAUUAAAGCGGUAGAUUUAACAAUUGAAAACUUAUGAGUAAAAUGUGGUCUAUACACAUGUAAAGUAGCCGAAAUCUAUAUAUACAAAGAGCUAAGCUAGUAUACUAUCGCCUAUCGGUAGCACGGAGGCCUCCGCGCUACCAAAUUUUUUUUAAUGAUGUGCCUUCCAAAUCAACUAUCAGCUCUGUUAGACUUGAUCUAUAUUAUUAAAAAUAUUUAGAAACUAAAUUUUAUAAUUUUUCGACAUCAGUUGACUAGUGAUCAAAAGGUUUCAAAAUUGACAUUUUUAAAGGUCGAGGUGAUAUGUUUGUGAAUUUAACUGCGUAAAAGAAUCCAAAUCUAAUGAAAUUUUUAUAGAAAAUUCUUUUCACUAUUUAUAGUACGAUCGGUAUUUCUAAUCUUAAAUUCAAGUCUUUUAUCAUCAUUUUUUUAUGAGACUUCUAUUUUCAAUUGUUCAUUUUUAAACUACUGGUUUGAAAGAUAAAUGAUCUCAAAAAAUUAUAAAAUUUAGUUUCCAAAUACUUUCAAUAGUAUAGUUCAAGUCUCACGGAGACAAUUGUUAAUUUGGAAGCCGCAUCAUUGAAAACAAGUUGGUAGCACGAGAGCCUCUGUGCUACCGAUAGGCGAUAGUAUAUCAGCCGGACUCAUAUAUAUAUCUCCAUAUAAUUAUUAUUUACUGAGGAAUUUUUCGUAGGCAUAUAUAUGUAUAUUUAUAAAAAAGAAAAAAAAGAAGAAGCACAUGAAAUAACAAUGGUACAAAUAUAUUAUGCUUCCAGAAACAGUGACAAUAAAUCACAAUCACACACACANNNNNNNNNNNNNNNNNNNNNNNNNNNNNNNNNNNNNNNNNNNNNNNNNNNNNNNNNNNNNNNNNNNNNNNNNNNNNNNNNNNNNNNNNNNNNNNNNNNNNNNNNNNNNNNNNNNNNNNNNNNNNNNNNNNNNNNNNNNNNNNNNNNNNNNNNNNNNNNNNNNNNNNNNNNNNNNNNNNNNNNNNNNNNNNNNNNNNNNNNNNNNNNNNNNNNNNNNNNNNNNNNNNNNNNNNNNNNNNNNNNNNNNNNNNNNNNNNNNNNNNNNNNNNNNNNNNNNNNNNNNNNNNNNNNNNNNNNNNNNNNNNNNNNNNNNNNNNNNNNNNNNNNNNNNNNNNNNNNNNNNNNNNNNNNNNNNNNNNNNNNNNNNNNNNNNNNNNNNNNNNNNNNNNNNNNNNNNNNNNNNNNNNNNNNNNNNNNNNNNNNNNNNNNNNNNNNNNNNNNNNNNNNNNNNNNNNNNNNNNNNNNNNNNNNNNNNNNNNNNNNNNNNNNNNNNNNNNNNNNNNNNNNNNNNNNNNNNNNNNNNNNNNNNNNNNNNNNNNNNNNNNNNNNNNNNNNNNNNNNNNNNNUAACUAUAUAUAUAUAUAUAUAUAGUCCGGCUGCUAUACUAUCAGUAGCACGGAGACUUCCGUGCUACCAAGUUGUUUUCGAUGAUGCGGCUUCCAAAUCGACGAUCGGCUCCGUUAGACUUGAUCUACACUAUUAGAAGUAUUUGAAAACUAAAUUUCAGAAUUUUUCGACAUCAUUUAGCUAGUGAUCAAAAGGUCUUAAAAUUGAUAAUUUUAAUGAUAGAUGUGAUGCAUUUGUAAAUUUAACGAGGUAAAACAAUCCAAAUCAGAUGAAAUUUUUAUAGAAAAUUCUUUUUACUAUUUAGAGUAAGAUCAAUACCUCUGAUCUUAAAUUUAAGUCUUCUAUCAUCAUUUUUUAUGAGAUUUUUAUUUUCAGCCGUUCAUUUUUAGACUACUCGUUUGAUAGGUAAAUGAUAUCGAAAAAUUAUAAAAUUUAGUUCCAGAUACUUUCAAUAGUGUAGAUCAAGUCUAAAAGAGCCGAUCGUUGAUUUGGAGGCGACAUCUUUGAAAACAACUUGGUAGCACGAAGGUGUCCGUGCUACCGAUAGUAUAGCAGCCUAGCUCAUAUAUAUGUCAAAAUGGAUGGUGGAAAUUGAAUAAUAUUUAAAAUUUGAGUAUAGGACUUUUAAAUUCAAGAUCAAGAAUGUUAAUUUUAAUCUAGAUAGUUUAAAGUAUUUUAUAUCAAAAUUUGAAGAAAUUUAGAUUCUUCUACACCGUUAAACUCGAAACUCGCCAUAGUAGUCAUUGAAAAUUGAUAAUUUUGAAAUGAUUUGAUUAUAAAGUAAACUAUGUCGAAAAAAUAUAAAAUUUUAUUUCUAAAAAUUUUAAAUACCCUAAAUCAGUUUUAACGGUGUGGAUCGUUGAUUUGAACACCCUAAAAUCGAAAACGAAACUAUAGUACCGGAGCCCCGGUACAAUAAAUAGUAUAGGAGACUAGCUAUAUAUAUAUAUAUAUAUAUAUAUAUAUAGUCUAGCUAUGGUGCUUCUAAAAGCACCAAGCACUUUGUGCUUAUAAGUUUUUUACCGUUAGAUCUACUCCUCGGAUCAUCUUCAACCAUUAGAUUAUACUAUUCAACCAACCACCCACUCAACCCUAGGAGGCCCACAUCAUCCUAACCGCAUAUCUCUUAAUCCAAUGCUAAAAAUCUAUAAGCACCAAUAACUUGGUACUUUUAAAAGNNNNNNNNNNNNNNNNNNNNNNNNNNNNNNNNNNNNNNNNNNNNNNNNNNNNNNNNNNNNNNNNNNNNNNNNNNNNNNNNNNNNNNNNNNNNNNNNNNNNNNNNNNNNNNNNNNNNNNNNNNNNNNNNNNNNNNNNNNNNNNNNNNNNNNNNNNNNNNNNNNNNNNNNNNNNNNNNNNNNNNNNNNNNNNNNNNNNNNNNNNNNNNNNNNNNNNNNNNNNNNNNNNNNNNNNNNNNNNNNNNNNNNNNNNNNNNNNNNNNNNNNNNNNNNNNNNNNNNNNNNNNNNNNNNNNNNNNNNNNNNNNNNNNNNNNNNNNNNNNNNNNNNNNNNNNNNNNNNNNNNNNNNNNNNNNNNNNNNNNNNNNNNNNNNNNNNNNNNNNNNNNNNNNNNNNNNNNNNNNNNNNNNNNNNNNNNNNNNNNNNNNNNNNNNNNNNNNNNNNNNNNNNNNNNNNNNNNNNNNNNNNNNNNNNNNNNNNNNNNNNNNNNNNNNNNNNNNNNNNNNNNNNNNNNNNNNNNNNNNNNNNNNNNNNNNNNNNNNNNNNNNNNNNNNNNNNNNNNNNNNNNNNNNNNNNNNNNNNNNNNNNNNNNNNNNNNNNNNNNNNNNNNNNNNNNNNNNNNNNNNNNNNNNNNNNNNNNNNNNNNNNNNNNNNNNNNNNNNNNNNNNNNNNNNNNNNNNNNNNNNNNNNNNNNNNNNNNNNNNNNNNNNNNNNNNNNNNNNNNNNNNNNNNNNNNNNNNNNNNNNNNNNNNNNNNNNNNNNNNNNNNNNNNNNNNNNNNNNNNNNNNNNNNNNNNNNNNNNNNNNNNNNNNNNNNNNNNNNNNNNNNNNNNNNNNNNNNNNNNNNNNNNNNNNNNNNNNNNNNNNNNNNNNNNNNNNNNNNNNNNNNNNNNNNNNNNNNNNNNNNNNNNNNNNNNNNNNNNNNNNNNNNNNNNNNNNNNNNNNNNNNNNNNNNNNNNNNNNNNNNNNNNNNNNNNNNNNNNNNNNNNNNNNNNNNNNNNNNNNNNNNNNNNNNNNNNNNNNNNNNNNNNNNNNNNNNNNNNNNNNNNNNNNNNNNNNNNNNNNNNNNNNNNNNNNNNNNNNNNNNNNNNNNNNNNNNNNNNNNNNNNNNNNNNNNNNNNNNNNNNNNNNNNNNNNNNNNNNNNNNNNNNNNNNNNNNNNNNNNNNNNNNNNNNNNNNNNNNNNNNNNNNNNNNNNNNNNNNNNNNNNNNNNNNNNNNNNNNNNNNNNNNNNNNNNNAUAUAUAUAAUCAUGAAUUCGCUUUUUGUUUGAAUACAAAUAAAAUACAUGCCCGAAUUCAAAUCCUUCGCUUUUUGUUUGAAUACAAAUAAAAUACAUGUCCGAAUUCAAAUUCGUCGAAUUUUUAUUUUUUAUAUUUGUAUUUGAAGCUAUAUUUGUUUAUCACUUAGUAAAUUUGUUCCAUUCGAAUUCGAAUUCAGAUAAAACAUCCCCUAUUCUGUAUUUGAAAUCUAUUGUAACAAGCUGUACUGCGUUGUUCAUGCGUAUAUGCCAUGAUGAUUCGUGCGCACCAAGAGAUCCAAGUUAUUAAAUUUGAUUAAACUAAUUAAUAAAUAAUGUUAACUUUUUACGAAUUUGUUAUUUAUAUUAUUGCAGAACAAAUCGAUUUGAUAGAUAACGUGAACAAAUUAACAACAGGAUGAAAAAUAAUUAAUUUAAUAUGAAAUGAAAUUGGAAUACUUAGUUAGGAGUUGGUUAGAUUUGUAUAUAGUUGAAUCCUAGUUGGAUAAGAAUUAAUAUUUAAAUCUGUUGAAAAUAAAUUAAGAUUUAAAUAUUAAUUAGAGUAUAAAUCUAACUAGAUUAGGAUAAAUAUUUAAAUCUAUCGGAGAUAAACUAAAUAUAGAUUUAAAUAUUUAUCGGAGUAGGAAUCCUAAUUAUACUAGGAUUUGGGUAGCUUUUGAUGUAAGUUAUAAAUAUAGCAUAGGUGCUAUUAUUUUGAUGGUAUGGAUUAGCCACACCCAUAUGGCAUGGCCAAGAUGGUCAUGAUUUUGGUUGCAUCUAGUGCAUGGGUGCAAAAGGGCGUGUGCGGCUUUCGUAGCCGUUGGUCAUUAGUAUACCUUAUGCACGGAUGCACAAGAUGAGAGAGACGUCUUCUGGGAGCAUAGAAGACGAGAGAAGGGUAGGAGAGAUUCAAGAAAGAGGGCUCGGGUUGUAGCUACUCUGUGCAGAAGAGGAGUCAGAUGUAAUCUUCUCUUAUUUAAUGAAUCUUAUUUUACCCGCAUAUUUUUCUCUUUUAUGAUUGUAUGCUAAGGAGACGUUUUUAUGGUAAAAACCCGAUUUGACGCUUUCGUUGCGGAAUCCCAACAAUCGGUACCGGAUCCACAGCAGUCGGUAUCGAAGCGGGUUGCGGAUUCAUAAGAUCCGGUAUCAAGGUGAGUACCGGAUUUCGGGGCGAGUACCGGAUUCCCAACAAUUGGUAUCAGAAUUGAAGGUUCCCGAUCUUUGGGAGAGAUCGACGUCAAAGGACUAGAUUUCUGAUCCUUGAAGAAGAUCGAUGUCAGAGCGCGGUGUUACCGAUCGUUCAGAGCGAUCGAUGUUUAAAGCACAAUUUGAUCUCGUUUAGGCGCAUUGGACUCGAAGGGUUGCGAUUUUUUGGGCUUCAGGUGGAACUAUGAGGGUCUGAAAGCGAGAUCGGGUCGUGUGCGAGACAAACAAGCGUGGGAACUUAUAUGUUCUGAACGGAAGCACAGUCAGAAUGGAAGCGAAGACGGUUUGGGUUCUGAAAAUUCGCGGAAGUGCAGUCGCUCGAGGCGGAGCGGCGAAUGCCGACAUCGAGCGGAGGAGACAAGCUCAAGGUGGAGCAUGCAUGGUGAGCUCGACACAGUGGUUGAAGACUACAAAUCCAACCAAGGUGGAGAAUAUUAGGAUUUAGUUAGAUUUGUAGUUGAAUCCUAGUUGGAUAACAAUUAAUAUUUAAAUCUGUUGAAGAUAAAUUAAGAUUUAAAUAUUAAUUAGAGUAUAAAUCUAACUAGUUAGGAUAAAUUUUUAAAUCUAUUGGAGAUAAACUAAAUAUAAAUUUAAAUAUUUAUCGGAGUAGGAAUCCUAAUUAUAGUAGAAUUUGGGUAGCUUUUGAUGUAAGCUAUAAAUAUAGCAUAUGUGCUAUUAUUUUGGUGGUACGUAUAGAUUAACAACACCCAUAUGGUAUGACCAAGAUGGUCAUGAUUUUGGUUGCAUCUAGUGCAUGGGUGCAAAAGGACGUGUGCGGCUUUCGUAGUCAUGGGUCAUUGGUAUACCUUGUGCACGGAUGCACAAGAUGAGAGAGAUGUCUUCUAGGAGCAUAGAAGACGAGAGAAGGGUAGGAGAGAUUCAAGAAAGAGGGUACGAGUUGUAGCUACUCUGUGUAGAAGAGGAGUCGGAUGUAAUCUUUUCUUAUUUAAUAAAUCUUAUUUUACCCGCAUAUUUUUCUCUUUUAUGAUUGUAUCAGUUUCUGCUGAGGAGACGGAUUUAUGGUAAAAAUCCGAUUUGACGCUUCCGUUGCAGAAUCCCAACAAUCGGUACCGGAUCCACAGCAGUCGGUAUCGAAGCGGAUUGCGGAUUCACAAGAUUCGGUAUCGGGGCGAGUACCGGAUUCCCAACAUACCUUUCACAUUAAAAUUUGCUUUGCUGGCAUUGGGUCAAACCAAAUCAAGCAUGUUCAUGCUGGAUCGGACGAUUAUUUUGUUCUCUAAAUAGAAUAGAUUAAACUCAUUAAUUUAAAGUAGAACCAAACAGACCAUAUUUUAUUGAAAUACAUAUUUUGAAGUGAAAGUUUCAUCAGAUAAUUUUAUCUCUCUUUGUAUAAGAGUUUGGUGCUUACUCACUUAACGUGAUCUUAGAGUCUAAUCCAAAACUAUCACACAGUAAUUAGCAAACUUAAAUUUUGUUAGAACAAAACCGCAACGAAUAAUCCGAUUGUGAUAAAAUCUAACUAAUUUUGUGAUUAAAUAAAUAAAAUUUACUUACCGAUAAUCGCUAAAUUUUAAAAAUAAAUUGUGGAAGAAGAAUAUUAACAAAUUGAUCCGGAAGCGUGCGAGGCACUGUCCUAAGGCGUAUUCCCGUCCUUCGUGCGGGAUUAAUCGAAAACACCACCCCAAGAUACGACCGGUACUCCUCCUCCUACGGACACGAACGCGGAAGAGGUUGACGGAGCUUCUUUCAACACCCAAUGAUAGAGGAUCAAAUAAAGUGAAUUAAGCUUAAAAAUUAAAAGGGAACUCUCGAAAUUAUCUCUUUUCACUGUGUUCUCCUUAGUAGUGUUCAUCAUAUAAAUAUCCAUAUAGGAGUACACUAUGGGCUCGUUCGGCUCCGUAGCCCGCCCCGCGUGAUCCGCAAUCGCGCGUAACGACGCGCGCACUCGCGGGUAACGUCCGCACCAUUCACAGACUCCACUUCGAACGGCUGUAAAGAAUUAAUAAAAUUAAAUAAAAUAUAUAUAUAAUAAAUAAAUGUAAAUAAAUAAAUAAUUAGAAAAUUUUGGGUUUUUCCAACAAAUUUGACAUAAUUGGGUUUAGAUUGAAGCUGGAAUAAUCCAAACUCGACUUGGGAUAACAUGCUUCUAUUUUAAGUUCACUGUUGUCAGAAAUUGUUAAAUCAAAAUGCUUAUAGUAUCCAUUGAUGAUCUCCUAUAGAUUUAUAGGGUAUCAGAAACUCAUGUGGCAUUUUAGACGAUGCCUAUCUGGUCGUGCCGAUAGAGCAGCGCAGCAUUUGGUUAUUGCAGUUUGUAUGUGUGUUUUCAUACGCAACAGCAAAAUACUGCGAAUUUAAAAUGCUCCAAAUCUAUUAGUCGUGCACUGCAGCUCGCCAGGCCAUUCACUAACUAAGGCUUAGUUUGGUAUUGAGGUCUAUCUAACGCUAUUAGAUUAAAUGGAGUUGAAGAAAAAGUAUAUAGGGAUAUGCUUCUGCGUUCUCCGGUGGGACCGCAGAAAAUAUAUCGUAACCGAUUCAUCACAAUAUACGGAAUACAAUAUUACGUACGGAAACAAACAGAAUAUUUUCCCAUCAUCGUUUCUCACUGCACGUAACGCAAUCUCCCCACAAUCCCAAACGAAGCCUAAGUCGAGCUGGAAUGUUAUCAUUAGCAAAUGGGCUCUAUUCCCAUCUAUUUAUUUUUGACGAUGAAGUCUCCAAAUCGACGAUCGGUAUCGUUGAUUAUAAUCUAUACCACUUAGAACAUUUAGAAAUCAAAUUUCAAAUAUUUUCGACAUCAUUGAGCUAAUGAUCAAAGGAUUUCAAAAUUUGUAAUGUUUAAUUGUCAAUAUGAGACAUUUUCUCAUUUAACGGCGUAAAAAUAUCCAAAUCAAUUCAAUUUUGGUUAGAAAAUAAUUUAAACUAUUUUAAAGAAGAUCUAUACUCUUGAUCUUGAUUAUAAGACUCCUAUCAUUGCUUUUUAAAAAAUAUUUAUUUUUAAUCAUACAUUUUUAUAUCCACUUGACAGACAAGAGAAUAAUAUCGAAAAAAUAUAAAAUUUAAUUUAUAAAUGCUUCAAGUGGCAUAGAUCAUAUUCAACAAUACUAAUCGUCGAUUUAGAAUCUCCAUCAUAAAAAAUGAAUGGGUGGCAACGAAGCCCUUUUGCGAUUAACAACAAUAUUCCAGCUCAACUCUCUCUCUCUCUCUCUCUCUAUAUUAUAUAUAUUAAACAUUUGUAGGCGAAGAUUUAACCCAAAAUCUAAGUCCUAUUCGAAUUCAUCCCAGCCUAGUCUAGGCUCAGGUAAGCUAAAGGAUAGUAGCGAAUAGCAGUAUAGACAAAAAAAAAAAAAAAAAAAAAAAAAAAAAAAAGAUUAUUACAAAACCACCAACAGAUAAUCUGAUUGAUAGAUAUUCAUCGUUCUCAAGCAAUAGGCCUUGUAUUUAAGUCGUCCCAUUAAUUAUACAUAGGAAGUUAGAUGUCAGCGCCGUAAUGUCCUUCUCUUUUACUUUAGUAUAAUUAAAUCGAUAUAUGAAAUCAAAAUUUGAGAUAUAAAAUCAACCUACUAGAAGUCGAUCUUCCCAUGACAAUGUCUUAUUAUUAUUAUUAUUAUUAUUAUUUCUUGAUCAUAAAUAUAAAAUAUAGGUUCAACUAAUGUGACGCCUCAUUUUCCAAAAAGAUCACCCAUAUAUUAUAAGGCUAAAUCUCUUAAUCCGACUAUAAUAUUUUAGGCGGUAACUAGAUUCAAGAAAUUAAAAAAAUUAAACGUGUUGAGACUAGAAUAGUUCUAGAAUGAAUGACCUUCUGAAAAAUAGAACAUUACAAUUAAAGACAUAUGAGUCUGGUUGGCUGAUCGGGCCAAUAAUGGAUGAACUCUGAAUAUAAGAAGCAUAUAUGGGGUCAUACUUUGGCCCGUUGGACUCAGAAGUGAAUCUUCUUUUCCCCUGUGGGGUGGAGUUAGGGCCACAAUUUUAAAACUAAUUCUUAACCUACCCAGACUCGGCCCGACGAUAGAUCGAUUUGACGGAUUGGGUCUGGCGUAAUCCGACCCGUCCCGACACGGCCCUAACCCAGCCCAUUUACACAUUCGCACUUGACCGCGAUCGAUUAUCUAUCCUACUUAUAAUAAGCAAGAUAUAAGAAAUUAAACAAGUGAUCACCUGUUCACUAUUUGCGUCUUUUCUAGAUUUCUAAUGGUGAUGUCAUUGGAGAGUCUCUGGUCUGAAGAUUUUGGUGAUGACAUCAACUUCGCCUGGGAUAGAUGGAUAGCUAGGGAUGGAUCGCAGUCUAAGAGUACUAAGCUACUCGGCCUAGUACUCUGUUGGUGGGUAUCGUGGGAUAUCAGGAACGGGCUAAGCUACUUGGCCUAGUACCCUGUUGGUGGGAAUUGUGGGAUAUCAGGAAUGGUGCGAUUUUAGAAAUAUCCAGCCGAACCCACACCUAGUAGCCUACAAGAUUAAAUAGUCGACGGUCCUUUGGGCGCAGUUAUUUUCAGCAAAUCUGCACAGCUAUAAUCAGUAGUAGGUUUUUUUUUUUUUUUUUUUCGCGCACCCUCUACGAGGCCUAUGCUGCCUCACCCCUAUCGCUUAAUUCAUCCUUAUAAUGAAUGAAGCUAAUAGCGGACUACCCUUUCCUCAAAAUUAAAAAAAAAGAAAAAGAGCAUAAGAAAACAGCAAUUACUUAGACUACAAACGGUGAUUUAUUAAUUUUUACGGUAUAUCAUGAGCAAAACACUAUGUAGAAACAAAGUUUCACAAAGCCACUCACAAAACCUUAUUUAGUAUCUCACUAAACGAUACAACAUAUAUGUAAAACUAGGUCCUUUGAAAUUUUAACUCUCUCUGCAUAUCUCUCUCUCUCUCUCUCUCUCUCUCUCGGAUCUCUUUCGGAGUUGUCCGAUCAGGCGGCGAUGGCCGCGAUCUUCAUACCGGACUGGCAGUGGCCGGGGAAGGUGCAGAUGAAGUAGUUGCGGCCGCGGGCGAGCGUGAUGCGGUCGUUGCCCGACGUGUACGUCCUCGACCCCCUCGGCGCCUUGCAGCUGUUGUAGCCGGCCGCGUUGACGGCCACGACGUUAUGCGCCGACGGGCUGUACUUGAAAACUGCAGUAUAUAUAUAUACAAACCAUGAGCACAGCCAAAAUAUUCAGCAUGAGUACGAAGUACUAUUUAGGUUGGGUGUCGGUGCAUGGGUACAGAUAUCUGAAAUAUUAUAUGUUCUCAAAUCCGGACACGGCGGGUUAAUUUAUCCGAUACUGAACAGAGAUGGUUUCGAAUCUAGUGUAAAAUACAAAUUUUAUCUGUAUUCGAUCCGAAUCCGAACUGUUUUUAUAUUGUAUAAUAUAUAUAUAAAAAUAUUUAAUAGUAUAUUUGAAUUUAUAUCUUUAAAUUUUAGAUUUUAAUAUAAUAUGUUUUGAAAUAUGUUAAAAAAAACAAUUAUUCCGGGUUUUUAAUUAGGUUCGAUUUUAGAUAUGUAUUUUUAAAAUUCGUAGAAUUUAAAUAAAAAUUUGGUUUUCGAGUUGGAGUCCGUAGUUGUUAAAACCUCGCCUGAAUCCGACCCGUUAACGUCUCUAUGCUUACGCAAUGUUUGGUCGGCUUCUGACGCUGUGUCAGUAAAAAGCAGGGCCAGUUGUACCAUUUGGAUGGAUUUUUUUUUUUUUUUUUUUUUUUUUUUUAAGUUAAUAUGUAUGGAGACACCUUUAAGCAUAGGCUAUUCUGAAAUAGCCCUCUCCACUUUCUUUUUUUUUUAUUUUUUUGAUUGAGACCCUUUCAACUUUAGAUUAUUUUUAUCUUUGUUUGCUAAUCAGAGAAUCUGUAAAACUAUUUUUAUCUUUGUUUGCUAAUCAGAGAAUCUGUAAAAGAGUUUUGCGAAAAAAACUAGCUUUUGAUCUGUUUUACAUGGAACUAAACAUGCUCUAUCUUUCACCAAUUUUUUUUUUUCAAAUUUAUUUAUUUUUUUAGUUACUAAUUAUUAAUUGGCCGUGAUUUUAUUUGAUAAAAAGCCAUUAAUGUCAUUAAUCUCUAAUUUUUCGAUAAAAUUACUUAAUUCUAAUAGAAAAUAAAUAAUACCCUUUUUUUUAUUUUUUUUGGUUAGUGCUUCUUUAGUGGAGUGUUGUGUGCAAAACAGAGUAAAGCUUUACGAACCAAAAAAAAAAAGAAAAAAAAAAAAAAAGAAAAAAAAAAUCAAGCGCUUACCAGCUUCUAAGUAGUACAUAGUUUCUAAAAAUAAUUUCAUAAGAAAUAAAAAAAAAAAUAAAUAAUGUUUCUUUAAAUAGCUCUGCUCUAAUAAUAUUAUAGUAAAAACUCCAUUCGCACUAGACAGAUUAAAACUUAUGUCCGUAAAAGUGCUAUAUAAAUAGAUCAUGUUAAAAAAAAAACAAGCACGCAGAUUGAAGAUAGGUCAUCAUUUCUACUUGCCAGCAUAGUGCGACACAUGCACUUUUUAUAUUUGCCGAACGUCAAUCUAUUACUUUUCGAAGUGCAAAGCUUAUGAAAAGAGUAAACUUUAAAUAUCACCUCUGUCAUUUCACGCUUUCUCACUUUAAUACAACGUGGUUUAAAGCGCUUUUGUAAUGUCCUGUGGUUUCGUUUUUCUUUUUUUGUGAGCGCCUCCGUUAACUCUUUGCUAAAUCCUAUGUAAAAAAUUUCAUAUACCUCAUCUGUAGUUCAUCAAACAUUUGUAGUUCAUCAAACAUUCACUUUAGUAUUCUGUGAUUUAUCGAAUUUUCACUUUAGUACCUUUUGGCUUUAAUUUUAUCACCGAUGAAUUUAACGAAAAAAUUAACGGAGGGGAUAACGAAAAGAAAAAAAUAAAAUCACAGGAUAUAAAAGUGAUACAAUUUAAACUAUGUGAUAUUAAAGUGAGAGAGCGCGAAACCACAGAAAUGGUAUUUGAAAUUUUUUUUUUAUGAAAAAAAAAGAAGUGGGGCCGAACAGACACUUACCGAGCACGUCGCCAGCCCUGAAGCGCUUGCCCCUGACCCAGCCGGCCAUGUUGAAGGUCCAGCCGCUGCGGUCGCCGACGGUGUAGACGGCCGCCUCCGCGACCUCGCCUUGGAUGAGGAUGAAGCACAGAAGCACUGCCAGGCCAAGCCUAACUGCUGCUCUGUUCUCAGCACUGCCCCUUCCCUGAGCCAUCCCCCUCUCUUUCUCUCUCUAGAUCUCUCUAGCUAAUUAAACACCAAACACAGAUAUAGAGAGAGAAAAUGAGCCCAAAGGAUUGUGUUGGGCUAGGAAGAGAAUGGUGGGUUUUAUAGAGGGAUCAUAGUGGAGUGUGUGCAUGCAUGGUGGGUCCCCCACAAAUUGGCAAGCAAGCAUAUAUAUAUAUNUAGUGCUUCUUUAGUGGAGUGUUGUGUGCAAAACAGAGUAAAGCUUUACGAACCAAAAAAAAAAAAAAAAAAAAUCAAGCUUCUACCAGCUUCUAAGUAGUACAUAGUUUUUUAAAAAAUUUCAUAAGAAAUAAAAAAAAAUUAGAUAAUGUUUCUUUAAAUAGCUCUGCUCUAAUAAUAUUAUAGUAAAAACUCCAUUCGCAUUAGCCAGAUUAAAACUUAUGUCCGUAAAAAUACUAUAUAAAUAGAUCAUGUUAAAAAAAAACAAGCACGCAGAUUGAAGCUAGGUCAUCAUUUCCAUGCACUUUCUAUAUUUGCCGAACGUCCUUCUACUACUUUUCGAAGUGCAAAGUUUAUGAAAAGGAUAAACUUUAAAUAUCACCUAUGUGGUUUCACGCUUUCUCACUUUAAUACAACGUGGUUUAAAGCGCUUUUGUAAUGUCCUGUGGUUUCGUUUUUCUUUUUUUGUGAGCGCCUCCGUUAACUCUUUGCUAAAUCAUAUGUAAAAAAUUUCAUUUACCUUAUCUGUAGUUCAUCGAAUAUUCACUUUAGUAUUCUGUAGUUUAUCGAAUUUUCACUUUAGUACCUUCUGGCUUUAAUUUUAUCACCGAUUAAUUUAAUAAAAAAAUUAACGGAGAUGAUAAUAAAAAGAGAAAAAUAAAAUCACGGAUUAUGAAAGUGAUGCAUUUUAAACACGUGAUAUUAAGGUGAGAAAACGCGAAACUAUAUAUAGGAUGAUAUUUGAUGUUUUUUUUUCUAUGAAAAUAAAAAAAAAAGUGGGGCCGAACAGACACUUACCGAGCACGUCGCCAGCCCUGAAGCGCUUGCCCCUGACCCAGCCGGCCACGUUGAAGGUCCAGCCGCUGCGGUCGCCGACGGUGUAGACGGCCGCCUCCGCGACCUCGCCUUGGAUGAGGAUGAAGCACAGAAGCACUGCCAGGCCAAGCCUAACUGCUGCUCUGUUCUCAGCACUGCCCCUUCCCUGAGCCAUCCCCCCCUCUUUUUCUCUCUCUAGAUCUCUCUAGCUAAUUAAACACCAAACACAGAUAUAGAGAGAGAAAAUGACCCCAAAGGAUUGUGUUGGGCUAGGAAGAGAAUGGUGGGUUUUAUAGAGGGAUCAUAGUGGAGUGUGUGCAUGCAUGGUGGGUCCCCCACAAAUUGGCAAGCAUAUAGAAUCCGGCUAUGGUGUUUGUAAAAGUACCAAGCACUUGGUACUUGUAAGUUUUUUACCGUUAGAUCUACGUCUUUAAUCAUUUUCAACCAUUAGAUUAUGCUAUUCAACCAACUACCCACUCAACCGUAGGGGACCACAUCAUUCUAACUGUACAUCCCUUAAUCCAAGAGCGGAAAACAACCGUAGGGACCCACAUCAUCCUAACUGCACAUUCCUUAACAUCCCUUAAUCCAAAGGCUGAAAACUUAUAAGUACUAAUAACUUGAUACUUUUAAAAGUAUAGGAGCUCAAUUUUAUAUAUAUAUAUAUAUAAUAUAUCACACAGGUCCCUAACUCUUUAAAUAAUUAUAAGCAAGGAGUAAAUUCUACUUUUCCGCGUCAAGCUUUAAAAUGCGCGACACUUCGGUCGGUAAACUUUAAUUUUUUUAUUGUAGUUUUUUGCUCAAAUUUUUUAAACUGUUACAAUUAAGUUCGGCAACUUAAUUUAAUCCGCGAAUACUGAUAUUUCAUUUAAGUUGUGAUGAUUUGACAUUUUAAUAGCUGUCAUGUUAUAUAUUACAAUACUAUCACAUCACGGCUCGAUCAAUUCCAUUUUUACUCAUCAAGCUUUAAAAAGCGUGACGCUAGCGCGGUAAACUUUAAUUCAUUAUAAUUUGUCUUGCUCAAGCUUUCUAAACUGUUGCAAUUAAAUCCGGCAACUUAAUUUAAUCGACUGAUACUAAUGUAUUAUUGAAGUUGCAGCGAUAUGGCAUUUUAAUAACCUGUCGUGUUAUCUAUUACAAUACUGUCACAUCGCUACUCAAUCAGUUAAAUUAAACAAUACGGCUUAAUUACAAUAAUUUAAAAAAUUUGAACCAAAAACCAGAAUAAAUUAAAAUCGGAGGGCCCCAAAGUGUCACGAAAGUUUGAGAACCGAAAGUGCAAUUUAGCCUUUUAAAAAUCUUCUGAUAAUUUUUCUUCUCAUAUAAAUUUUUGGAUUUUGGAUUUCUUAUUUUAUAAAUAAAAUCCUUGUGUAACAUUUUUAUAAUCAUCCAUUUAAAUUUUAUUGCCAUUUUCGUUUUCUCGCUCGUGUAAAAUACUUUAUCCCUUAAUUUAAUGCACUUCAGAUUAGUAUCAAAUUUAAAUAAGGAAAUUAAUGGCACUAAUAAAGGAAUAAAAGUUUAAGGAGUUUUCUCAUAUUAUCUGAAAAGUUAGGGACCUAUAUUUAAGCUUGUCGGUUUGAAAAGUAAUAGAUAUAAAUGAAACUGGCCAACUACCCACAAAGAGCCAUUAUUUUUGACUAGAGAGGACCAUUAUGAACACUUUUUUUCCACCAUUCUAAUUUAAUAAAAUUAUAGUACUAGUCCCUAAACUUCUUUAAAAGUUCAUUUUGAUCCCUGAACUUUUUGAAAAUUAUUUUACUUUAGUUAGACGUAAUAUUAAAUAAAAGACUUACUGCAUAUAACAUAUUAACCCAAUAUAAAGUUAAUUUUUAUAUAACUUUCUGUAAACUUAUCGAAUAGUGAAUAUAUUCUUAUAAAAUUCAACUUUUCAUAUUUAUUUCCUGCCAAACUUUUUUUUAAACUCUUUUUUAUUUUACUUCUAUUUUUUAAACUUUAAACUUUUCUCUUUAUUUGUAUCUUUUUUUCUCUCUCGUACCCUUUUUCUUACCUUUCUAAUGGAAUGAUAUGACAAGAACCUUUGGCUCUCGUCUUACUUUAAGAAAAAGAAAAAAAAUUAUUUCCUGUAAAAGUUCAGUGAUAUUUAUAUUUGCUUCACUGGUUUGUUACCGUUAUUGUAUUGUUUAUUUUCUAUCAGAAGAUAAGUGAAAUAAUAUUUUUGUAAUCACAAAUAUGUCAAAAGUCCCAAUUGUUAGAAUUACGGAGAAAUGUUCUCCCAAAAAUUCGCAACGGUCAUUUUCUUUCUUUCUACCCUCGCAAAUAAUAUAAAAAGGGUAAAAAGGUUAAUUUAUCUCAUUCAUUAAUCAGGAUUAAGAAUUUUAUCUAUGGUUAACUAUAUUUUUUAACGGAUCCUAACAGCAGUGGUAUAGUUGAAACAAUUAGAAUUUUUAUAGAAAUAAAUAUAAAAAUUGAACUUUAUAGAAAUAUAUUUACUAUUUGAUAUGUUUAUAGAGAGUUGUAUGUAAUUAACUAAUGUAACUUAACGAAUGGCCUAGAAUUAAAUAUGAUAUGAGACAUCCAGAAUUAAUUAAUAAAUAAUGUGUGAAUAUAAAAAUGCACAAUGUGCAAGCAAUAAUUUGUUUCUUUUAUAAUAAAUAAGAACAUGAAAUGAAGAGUUAUGUUAUUAUACUAUCGAUAGUAUCAAGCACUUGAUACUAUCAAGUUUUCAGCCGUUGGAUCAAAGAAUGUACAGUUCGGAUUGUAGUGAAUUUUUAGAAUUGAAAAAAAUGAUUGAUUGAAUAAUAUAAUCUAACAAAUUGAAAUAAUUAAAAAAUAAAUUUAACAAUAGAAAACUCGAUUGCCGGAAUCCUACUUUUAAGAUUUGCCACUUAUCAGUGAACCACUCAUAAAGUUACAUAAACAACCAUAUACUAGCUGUAAGAUUUUCACCCCACUGAUUCAAAGGAUAUUAUUUUUUGACUAGUCUAAUCAAAUUUUUUUUAGUAUUAAAAAUUCAAAAAGAGUUUUCUGAAUUGUAGAAUAAAUAAGGUAUAAGAUUUAUACUUGUGUAUAGAUGUACAGGUUGUAUUUUCUUUAUCCCUUGAAGUUACAAACUUUAAUAUUAUAAAUCCUACUUGUCAGAUUACGAGUGCUAACUAUUAAUCUGAAAAGCUUGAACCAUUAGAAAGAUCCAACCAAUUCACUUAAAACGUAUAAUUACAACGCCUAUGGGUUUCGACUGCGACUCGAUCCAACCAACCUAACGCAACUUCAAAUAUGACUCGACCUAACCCAGUUUCACGCCAUUUCGAACAUGACUCGGUCCAACCUGCCGUCCCGUCACGCCAUUUCGAAUAUGACUCGAUCCAACUUGCCGUUCCGUCACAAGGUAAAAUACUGGUCCCAUUUAAACCAACACCUACCAUGUAUUAUGAUAAGAUUCACUAGGUUUAUACACAGGAGAGAUGGGUACAUGCAUGUGAAUGAGAAGAGAGGGAAGAGGAGUCAAAGAGGACAGAGCAAAGUGGGAAGAAGCUUUAAAUUUGGAGCCAGGUGCACAGGUAGGGAGAGUUAAGAUGAGGGUGCAGUACUGUUAUUAGUUAAAAGGGAUUCAAUAAUAAGAGCAAUGCUCUCCUUACAAUCCAUUUUGCGUUGUAAUCUGUACAAUCGUUUUAUCCAAAAUCAUUUAUUUCUCUACUCAUCUUAUUUGUUUUUUUUACAAGAAAAAAAAAAAAACUAAAAUUCAAAAGGAUAUAGUAAACCCUACAACUUUUCCGAUAAGAGAUUGCAGAGAUUAUAACCUUUUUUGGUUAUAGAGUUAGUAUUUCUCUAUUAAUAAAGGAUAAAAUAUACAGAUUUUUUUUUGAACUCUAGCUUUUUCAUAAAUACAAGUCUAAACUUCUAAUCUUAACAAUUAAAUAACAUAAACUUUAUUAAAUAGUUCGAUAAGCUCCUCUCUUUAAGUGACUUUCGAAUUAUAUAGAUGUUUUAUUCGGAUGUUAAUCUCAUAAAAAUUUUAAAUAUAAGAAGUUAUUUUUUUCUAUUCCAAUUUAGUCGUAUGCAAUACAUGUUGGAACAAUUCUCGCAAUGAAAAUCUAAUUGUGAUUUAAAUCUAAUUAAAUUUGUGAUAAAAUUAAUAAACUCAACUUACAUAUAAUUUUUAAAUCUAAAUAAAGAUUUUGAUUGAUCCGGAAGCAUGCGAGGCACUGCCCUAAGACGUAUUUCCGUCCUUGCGUGCGGAAUUAAUCGGAAAUAACACUCCAAGGUACGACCGGAAUUUCUCCUCCUACGAGCACGAUCGUGAAAGAGAUUGACGGAGACUCUUUCAGCACCCUAUGAUAAAGAGAAUCAAAUAAAUUUAAAAUAUAGUAAUAAAAUUUUGUUCUCUUUCUUUCUCUACAAUGUUCAUUAUAAAUGAACUAUAGACAAUGGCCUACAUAUAGGCCUUCGGAUUCCAAGAAUCCAAGGAGAGUGGAAACAAACGUUUCCAACUAAUUAAUUCAUCUAAUUAAUUGUAAUAAAUAAUAAUAAAUGGUAAUGAAUGAGAAUAAUUAUAAAAUUAAAUGAUUUUUAGAGAUUUUGAAUUUUUCACCAACAAUCUCCCACAAAAUUCAAAAUCACAAAAUAAGAAUUAAACAAAUAAAUAAAUAAAUCAUCGGGUAUUUAUACUAUGCAAUAGGCGAGGUGUUUUUAAGAGACUUAAUCCCACUUAGUGUAAAUAGUUUUCAUCAGAAGAAAUCGGAGUGAACCAGAUUUUGAACUACGUUCCUUUGACUCUAACUUCGACUACCACACACACAGUACAGAAUUCUCCGUUGCGGGUCUGUGCAUUAAUGACCAUGCACAGUACCUUGAUUUUUCAUAAGAGUUUCUAUGGAUAACCCAUAUCACAUAGCCGCGGCCACAUACGGAUACUCUUAUAUAGGUGGUUUUCUCCAGAGAUGUGUGUAGAGUCACAUCUCGCGAAAAUUAUCGCAUUGGAUCCCAUUAAGAGCUAUCAGCUCAACCUUAACCACUACACAGAGCACUACUCACCAUAGGAAUGAGAUUGGAGCUAAAGCACCUUUAUAAAAUUUGUAGAAAGUGUUCUUUGGCCAACCUGAUAGUUUGUUUUUACCACAUUGAACCUUCUUCAAGAGAUUUCCUAUCACAAAAGUUGGGUUCCCACUGCAGGAAGGCUCUUUACGGGCAAAAUUCCAUCAUCCUCGAUGACUCCAGGACUUUAGUCCUAUUCAGGCCUUUCGUCAAGCAAUCUGCAAGGUUCUAAUCAGAUUUGAUAAAACUCAAAUAAUAAUAUCAUCAUGAAAGGUUAGUCAUCUAAUAGAUUUCUAUUUCAAUUUAAUAUAUCUGUUAAUUUUAGAAUUUACCAAUUUCAUUUACAAGCUAAACAUUAGAAAAAUGAAAUCAUUAGAGCAAUUAUAAUAUUAAAAUUUAUCAGUCUGAUAAAAGAGCUCCCCCACAAGUUCUAAGGUACACCAAACUUUAACAAUCAAAACAUUAACAAUGUUUAAUUGAGUUUGGUUAAGUAGCAAGUUAAUGGACCAAACUUAUUUGAUUUUAACUAAUUACUUUUAAGUAAAUAAUAAUGAUAGAAUCACAAUAUACUGCAAUCAGCUAAUAAAAUUUUGAAUUAAGAAACGAAGCAAGCAUGAAUAUUUGAUUCUACAGGUAAGAUGUGCCAAGUUAAAUAUUUUACCAAGCCGGCUGCGGGUUAAAGUCCCACUUAAGCAGUUUUUUUUUUUUUUUUUCUUUUCACCAAAUAGAUUUUACAAUAGCAAUGACUUCAAAAACCAUACACAGUGAAAAUAAUUUCUUUUUUAAAAAAAUUGCAAACAUAAUUAAGAAAUUACAGCAACAGUAAAAGAAUGAAACGUAAAAAAUGGUUGUGAUUGUUAGGGGUGAAAAUUUAAAAUUGCUAAUGUUGAAACUGUGGGUUCGAAUCCCACUUGAAGCAAUUUAUUAUUAUUUUUUUAAACCAAAUAAAUUUUACUGUAGUGAAAACUCAAAACGCCUUACACAGUAAAAUUAUUUUACUGUAACAAAAGCUUAUUUUUUUUUCCGAAAAACGGUAUAUAUAUAAAUUAAACUUUAAGAAAACCCAUAUACUUAAAAAUCUUUUACUGUAGCAAACUUGUUUAUCUUCUUUUUUUUUUUUUUUUUUUUUUUUUUUUUUUUUUUUUUCAAAAGUUACAAAACAGUAUAUGUAUUUGCACUGGAAAACUCUACUGUAGCUUUUUUUUUUUCAAAAUAGCUACAGUAAAAGCUUUUUUUUAAUAAAAUAAUCACUAAAUAAAAUAUACUUUAAACAAGAAAUUACAUAAUACGCAAUUACAAGUUAAAGUGCUAAUUCCAAAAAAAAAUUUAUAUUUGAAUGCCAAUCAUACAAAUAAGUUAACAAGUAAAUUAUAUACAUAUAAAAUUAAUUUAAUACGGAUUAGCAUUCGUUAGACUAUUAGAUUUUUAAUCACAAUUAGAUUGGGAUUUACGCCUUAGAUUGUUGGAAUAAUUACCGCAACGAAAAUCUAAUUAUGAUUUAAAUCUAAUUAAAUUUAUGAUAAAAUUAAUAAAAUCAACUUACAGAUAAUUAUAAAUCCAAAUAAAGAUUUUGAUUGAUCUGGAAGCGUGCGACACACUGCCCUAAGGUGUAUUUCCGUUCUUACGUGCGGAAUUAAUCGAAAAUAAUACCGCAAGAUACGACCGGAAUUUCUCCUCCUGCGACCACGAUCGUGAAGGAGAUUGACGGAGACUCUUUCACACCCGAUGAUAAAAAGAAUCCAAUAAAUUUAAAAUAGAAAUAAAUUUUUGUUUUCUUUCUUUCUCUACAAUGUUCAUUAUAAAUGAACUGUAGACAAUGGCGGAUUCCCCGAAUCCAAGGAGAGUGGAAACAAACGUUUCCAACUAAUUAAUUCAUCUAAUUAAUUGUGAUAAAUAAUAAUAAAUGGUAAUGAAUGAGAAUAAUUAUAAAAUUAUAUGAUAUUUAGAGAUUUUAGAUUUUUCACCAACAAUACAUACGACUAAAAUGAUUGUGUAACUAAUAACUUUAAUUGAGGAAGCGAACCUCAGUAUCUGAUAAAGUUCAAUAUAAUUGUCAAAAUUAAAAGUUUAAGUAACUAUUUAUUAAUUAAAGAGCCAACGAUCAAAUUUAGUGAAAUAACAAACAACGUCGAGAAAACACUUAGGCGUGUUUGGUUCGCUUCUUUUUCACCCUGGAAUCGGAAUCGGAAUGGAUAAAUCCGUUUGUGGGUGUUUGGUACGCGGGAGUUCCAUUCCGAUUCUGAUUCCCGAGUGGAAUGGGAAUCCCCCAAUCACCUCUUUUUUCAAUCCGGCCUAGGAGACCGGAUUGAAAGUUGAAUCCGGACGGAAUGGAUAUUUAUUCGGAUUAAAUUUAUUUUUUCAACUUUUUAAUUAAAAUAUGAGUUAAAAUUUUAAAAUUAAAUAUAUAAUUUUAAAUUUUAAUUUAAACUUAAAUUAAAAAUUAAAAUUUAAUCAAGUAUUUCGAAUCUAACUUAUGAAUUUGAAUUUAAAUUAAAUUUUAAUUUAUAUAAAAUGUUAUUCAAAUUUUAUUUCAAACUUAAAUUAAAUUUAUGUAUUCAAAUUAAAAUUUAAAUUGUAAUUUUAAAUUUGAAUUUGAAUAAAUCAAAAUUUAGUUUCAUAUUUUAAAUUAUCCACUCAACUUCAAAGUUUAAUUUUUUUUAAAAAAUAGAUUUAAAAUUUUGACAUUAUUUCAAAAUUUUGAUGUAAAUUUUUAAUAUUUAAUUUUUAAUUUGAAUUUAAAUUAAUAUAUUAUAAAGAUAAUGUUAGUAUAUUAAUUUGAUUACGUUUUUUAUAUCCACCUGAACCAAACACCGACAAUGGGAAUGAUUUAUUCCGAUUCCGAUUCAGGUGAUGAACCAAACAGAAUUAGGUAAUGAGUCAUUCCGAUUCCGAUUCCAGCUUAUUUUGAUUCCGAUUCCGAUUUCGAUUCCGACUUCGAACCAAACGUGCCCUAGAUUUAUGGGUUAAUUUCACACAGCUCUUUGUAAACAUAUUGACUAGUAAAUAUAUAUCCUUAUAAAUUUCAAACUUUUUAUAUUUGUUUCUACAAAACUUUAGUGAUAUUCAUAUUUGUCCCUCUUACUUGUUACUGUUAGAGUACUGUUUAUUUUUUAAUACAAGAUAAGUAAAAUAAUAUUUUUGUCAUCAUAAUAGUAUCUCUUCAAAAAUUAGAAUUAUACCGAAAUAUUCUUCCAGUCAUCUUCUUUUUUUCUACCAUCACAAAUAAUAUAAAAGGGGUAAAAAAAAUAAUUUAUCUCAUUCACUAAUCAGGAUUAAGUAUUUUAUCUAUGUUUAACUAUAUUUUUUUAACGGAUCUUAACAACGGAUGUAUAUUUGAAAAAGUUAGAAUUUUCACGGCAAUAAAUAUGAAAAGUUAAAAUUUGUAGGAAUUUAUUAACUGAAAUCAUGUAAUUUCCCCUUUUAAAGUAAAUAAAAGUUAAAGGGAUUCUUUUCAGAAUCACCUCUAGUUGAGAGGGUCUCAACACAUUUUUUCUCUGUAUAUAUUAUUACUACAUGCAAUGAUCUAAAAAUCUGGCUCGAAGUAGUUGGUUCGACCAGUCCGAUUGUGAUCCAGUUUGUAAUGCAGUUCGGCUCAACUCUUUCAAUCCGAUAACUUGAAAAAUUGUAUUGAUCCGUUCAAACCAGCAAUUCAACCAUCGAAUCGAUGAACCAUUCCGAUUUUAAUCAGACUGGGCAGAUUUUUUGAUCAAGUCAUAUUAAAAUCUAACAACUUAAAAUCAAUUUAACUAAGGUUAUUUUCUAUUAACGCGUAUUAGACUUAUAAAAAGUAGGUUUAGAAAUAUCUAUAUCUAUAUAAAAAUUAAGUAUGAUAUAUAAUAAUUAAAUAUUUAUGACGUUAUAUUGAUGUCACUGCUCCAAUUCGUAUGGUUGACCCACUGGUUGAACCAAGGACCCUUAAUUUAGUAAUAUUUGCGCUUAGCUUUCCAACCUGAUUUUUAAAAAAUUGAUUAUAUGUACCGACGGUACUUGUAUUGAUGGAGUUCAUGUGGGAAUAUGUGGGCUUAAUUAGGGUUUGGAAUAAGUUGGGACAAUAGCACUUAUGCAGAUCACUUGGAUCUGUCAUUUGUCAAUGUAAGGUAGACUUUAAAUUAAGGUUGACUUAAAAAGUGAAAUGGUAGGUUUUUAGGCUAAACAAAUUUCUUCCCUAGCUGUGAAGAGGGUGGGUGCCAUGAUGAUAUGAAAUCAUAAUCUAUUUCAUUUUGAGAUUAUCAAGCCAUAAUUCACGGUGGAUGUUCAAACAUUCGUUAUAGAGAACCCAGAUAAUUUUAUAUAUAAAAUAUAAUAGAGUUAAAUCUUUUAAUCUAACUAUAGUAUUUUGGACAGUGGUCGGUCUUUUACAUUAAAAAAUAUUUAAUUAUUUAUUACACAAUUUCACAGUCCAUUAUACUAUUUUCACGAUCUUUCGCACUAAUCAAAUAAUGUAAUAUAUAAUCAAAUAAUGUAAAUUUUUAUUCUUUUCAGGUCAAUUUGCAUAAAAAAUUUACAAAUUUUGAGCAUUUGCAAAACUGGGCCGUCUUUUACGAUUUUGCAGAUUCGAUCCAAAUUUUCAGCAAACUGAUCAAAAUAUCCUUAUUACUUUUUCUCUCUCCUCUUUUUUCUUUUUUUUUUUCUCUCGUUCAUUUUUUUUCUCUCGUCGAAAAAGGCAGCGGAGGCGAAGGCGGAGGCGGAGGCGGAAACGGUCCGCCUCGCCUCUUACCAUCAUGCCCUCACCCUCGCCCGUGCACCCCCGACCUUCCUCAUCUUCAACCCCGCCGAGGCCGCGCCGCACCGUGACUCUUUGUUUUCUCUCUCUCCGACCCUCCUCCACCGUCUGUGACUCGACAUCUCUCUCGCCCUCUCUCGCACUUUCCCGCCUUUCUCUCCCUCUCCCUCUCCCUCUCCCUCCUUCUCUGCUAGCUCCGACGACGACACCUCUCCGCCGACGCCGACGCCACAGAGGUCGCUGCGGCGCCACAGCCUCGGAGCGGGGGAUCCUUAGCGGCGCUGUCACCAGCGCCAUGGCAUUUGGCAGAGAGGCGUGAUCCAAAAAAAUUAUAGAAGAAGGAAGAAGAAAAAAAAUAAAGAUAAAAAAUUAUAAAAGAAGAAAAAUGAAGAUGAAAUUGUACUGUUAAAUAAAAUUGCACUGUUUUAAAAUAUAUUAUACUAUUAUAGACGUAAGUUGUACUAUUGAGAUGUAAAUUGUGUUUUUUAAAAUGAAUGUUACACUCUUUAAACGAAAAUUAUAUUUUUUCGGAGAUAUUUAAUUACAUUAUUUUCUCUUUUAUUGCACUCUUUGAGAUAUAAAUUGUAUAUUUUAAGAUGAAAGUUAUACUUUUUAAACGAAAAUUAUACUUUUUGAGAUAUGUUUACACUAUUUUUUCUUUUGUUGUACUGUUUGAGAGAUAUUUAUAUUGUUUCUUCCUUUUUUGCACUCUUUAAGAGAGAAACAGUGCAACAAAAAGAGAUAUCAUUUCCACCCGUUAGUUCAUACGAUUCAACCAGCCACCCACAUAACUGUAAGAAACUACUAUCAUCCUAACCAUAUAUCGCUUCAUCCAAUGGUCAAAAACUUAAUAGCACCAAUAAAUUUGUACUAUUAAUAGAAUCUAGCCUACUUAUAUACAUAUAUAUAUAUAUAUAUAUAUAUAUAUAGAGAGAGAGAGAGAGAGAGAGAGAGAGAGAGAGAGAUCUGCCGGCUCUAUAGUUAUUAUAAACUCGCCCUCGUACUCAUAAUUGUUAUUCGAUUAUAGACUUCCAAUUGACGAUCGCACAGAUCCGUUAAAUAUUACUAGACAUAUACACUUUUAAAAUGCAAAUUUCAUAAUUUUUCAACAUCAUUUACCUUACAUUCAAAAAGCACUCAAAUUGACAAUUUUUAACGGCCGGUAUGAGAAUACUCUUGUAGUUUAACGGUAAAAGAAUUGAAUAGCCUGAUUUUUUGUUAGAACAAUCUAUUCACUAUCUAGAUAAAGAAUCAAUAAUUCGAUCUUAAAUUGAAAUUGAAGAACUCCGAUAUCCAUGGUUUAGAACGUCGAUUCUAUUUCUGACGACGUUUAUUUUAUGCCCGUUGUGAUGACUUGGUUUAUUAUGCUUUUCAGAAAAAAUUUCACGAAAUUUAAUUUUUUAAGAAGUUCAAAAUACUCCUAAUCAAAUAAUUAAUAAGCGAUCGUCGAUUCAAACACCCAUCAUCGAAAACAAACUUAAGAUGCAAGUCCAAUACUCAUCAAGAUUAACGUAAGCCUUACAAUAUAUAUCCGGCUACUAUAACUAUUAAUAUCAUGAUCGCCUCCGUACUCAUCAUAAUUGUUUUCGUAAUAGAGCCCUUUCGCGAUGAAUUGAUACCACACAUUAAACAUUAUCUAAGCAUUAAAACUUCUAGAAAAUAAAUUUUCAUAAAUUUUUCUGACUCAUUAUAUCCUACGAUCAAACAUCUCACAAAAUUGACUUAAAUUUUAACUGAGCCGCCGGAUCAAAAUACUUGUAGUUUAACGGGUAGUUAUAUAUAUAUAUAGAGUGUCCGGGUAUGGUGCGUGUAAAAACACCAAGCAAUUUAUCUGUAAAUUUUUACCGUUAGAUACGCCAUUUGAUCAUUUCAACCGUUAGAUUAUACUAUUCAACAAACAACACUCAAUCCCUAGCGGGCCACAUCAUUUAAACCGCAGAUCCCUCAAUCCAAUGCCUCAAAAAUCUACAAGUCAGCAUAACCUUUGUACUUUUUAAACAAGCAUAGGAGCUCCAAUUAUAUACUAAGUAUAUUAUAUAUAUAUAUAUAAUAUAAUAUAUAUAAUAUAUAUAUAUAUAUUAUAUAUAUAUAUAUAUAUAUAUCAUUAUAGGUAGGGCUACUAACUCCUAUAGUGUAGGCCCUUAAUACCAUAAAGUUUGUUUCAAUAUGGCUUCCGAAUCGUCGAAAUCCAGCUCCAUUAAUAUGAUAUACAAGUAUUUGAAAACUUCUAAUAAAAUAAUAUUCGUAAAAUUUUUCGAAAUCAUAAUAAUGCCAUUAAGCGGAUAAUAAGAAGGUCAAAAAUCAAACAACAGACCUCCUAGAAAAUGGAUACGAUUCUCAAUUAAAUAUGCGGAGUUUAAUUGACUCUUUAAGCUAGUAAUAGAUUUCGUAUCAACAAUUCAGCCAUCAAUUCUUUUCCCCCACCCCCAAAUCUAGCAAGUAUCUUCCAUACAGCAAAUUGUCAAUUUGGGUAUCAUUUGAUCGUAAGGUAAAUGAUGUCGAAAAAUUAUGAAUUUGAUUUCUAAAGUUUUAAAUGCUACUAAAAACGUUUAAACGGUGUGGAUCCCGAUUCGAAGCUCUAUCAUCAAAAACAACUUAGAGUAGUCCACCCCCGGAUGUCUCGUCCGCGGACAACGCCCGACACAACACGACCCUAUAAUACAAAGGAGUUUUCCCUGUAUACGAAGCGAUUGCCGUACCUGUAAAUCAUACACUACUACGAACAGUAGUAGAGAGCUACUAGAGUAGCAAGAGCUAAACAAACUGAGUUUCAUAUACAUAGUCCAAAACCAAAAUACAGAAUUACUCGCACUGGCGAGUUAAAUAUACUAUGUACAUAAACUCAAAACAAAACAUCUACCUGCAGUAGGGGUGCCUCUAGCUCUGCUCGUCGGGUAGGGCUCUACCUCGCGACGCCCUUGCCUAGAUCCUGAUCCGCGGAAGGCGCAGCAGCCGAAACUUGUGGCUCUGCAAAAUAGGGGUAACAACUGGGCGUGAGAACUACUGUAAAAAUAAGUAGUCCUCAGUGGGUACCGCCCAAAACAACAUCGGUCCACCCACUAGGUCUACAGUAGGGAGCAAAGGUAGUAGUAAAUGCAGGAAUGAAAUCUACCGCUAUGAAUCACUACACUAUCAAUGCUCUAUGCUAACUAACUGUAGGAAAAUGUCAAAUCUAACCCAAUCCAAUCGGGACUGUAAACAUACCCGUCCCUGGGACUGUGACGCACCCGUCCCUGCCCAGUUGCGACUAUCCAACUACCUCCACACUAACUGGUCCGUUGAGAGCAAGUCCAACCGGCAUGAGCGACACCAACGCAAAAGCACAAAGCCCGCCUCCGGAGUGGCACUCGUGGGCGCUACCCAACCGAGUAUGCAGCGUAUCUCUGUCGAGCUCAAUCAGGCUCUGAAAAGCCAAAGUCGAGUAACCGACUCUAACUGGUCUAACAAACCACCGUUCACGUUCCCUCAACACAAUCUGUCGCCAAAAAGGCCAUCUGGGUCGACCGUCAACUCUGACGGCACCCAACAAUUCGGAACAGCCCAAAAGACCCUGUAAAAAUCCACUCGGCGUACCAGCACGAGUAUAAAUGCAUGCUAAACUAUCUGGAGUACUCGUCUCGAGGAUACUGCGACAGUACAAUUUUAUAACGGCUCCUACAGCUAAAUUAGGCAGUUUAAACAAGUGACAGGUCCAAAUCGCAGGUUUUCUCCUAAUUCAAAUUCCAAGUCCAACAUGUAUAAACUACUCAAUUUAUUACCACGUGCUCCAAAUUCAGAUUUGCAAUCUAUAAUAUAAUCCAUAAAUUCGAGCUAGAAUAGACUACCAAAAAUCAAAAUUUAUACAUGUCGACGAUUAAAACUUAGUAGUCAAAACCGAUGUAACCCACCUCAAAAAGCUAAUCCCUGGCAGCGAAGGACUCCCACUGGUGUAGAGCGACCUGCUGGAUCAACCGGAAUCCGCCGAGUCCAGAAUCGAGCUAACUCUACACUCUGCACAACACAAGUCACCAUUUCAGUCCAGAAAUUACAGAGUGAGGUACAACAGGGAUUCGACCAAGCUAACCUUCACCAAAUCCAGCAAAUAAGGGCUUCGUGGAUUCCUCUCGAAGUCCUGAAUCCAGCGAACCAAGUCUCGUCAAAAUCCGAUGCUCUAGCGUCGAGUACGAGCUGAAAUACUAACAGUCGACGAUGAAUUUCAGCAAAACAGCAUCACUCCGAGUUGAAGUAGUAAGAACUUGCCCAAAACAAUGGAAAUGCUGAAUUACCCACCUCGACAACGCUAAGCACCGGUGCGACAACAAGUACGGUAAAAACGUAUGCUCGCCUGGCCUCCUCGCGCUACCCCGGCGUCAAACAUGUGCUCGAACGGCUUCGCGGCGCGACGUCGGCGACAAAUCUNAACAGGGAUUCGACCAAGCUAACCUUCACAAAAUCCCGCAAGUAAGGGUUUCGUGGAUUCCUCUCGAAAUCCUGAAUCCAGCGAACCAAGUCUCGUCAAAAUCCAAUGCUCCAGCGUCGAGUAUGAACUGAAAUACUAACAGUUGACGAUGAAUUUCAGCAAAACAGCAUCACUUGAGUUCGAAGUAGUAAGAACUUGCCCAAAACAAUGGCAAUGCUGAAUUACCCACCUCGACAAUGCCAAGCAGCGCUGCGACAGCAAGAACGGCGAAAACACACGCUUGCCUGGCCUCCUCGCGCUACCCCAGCGUCAAACACGUACCCGAACGGCUUCGCGGCGCGACGUCGGCAACAACACCAAACUCCACCCGAGCUCUGUCGCAAUCGAGCCUAAAGAGAGAGAGGAGAAGUAAGAAUUCUCUCUCUCUCAGCUCAACACGAUCCUAUAUAGAGAGGAAGAGAGUUGGUGAUACAAACGAGGGAUAAAAUUACCCAUUUAGCCCUCUACCUACCCUCUUGUACCGGUACACGGGCUCUUGUACUGGUACAAGAGCCAACCCGAGAGCAAUCUGUGCAUCUUCGCUGGUUGUACCGGUACAGACACGCUGGUUGUACCGGUACAGCAAGCAGAGAAAUCUGCUGUCUUGCAGAUUUCUUCUCUAUAUGCUGCCCUCGCGUCGCACGGAGUCCGUUUUGCGUCUAUUUGAUGCCAACGCGACUCGGGCUUGUCCCGACACUCUCCAGAGCUGCCGACAAGCCUCCACAGCUGUACACCAGGGACCUCACAUCCUCCCCCUCUACAAAAAGUUUCGUCCUCGAAACUUAAACAUACCUCAACCUAGGUCCUCAAGCAAAUAGGGAUAGGCUUCCCUCAUCACCGUCUCAGGCUCCCAAGUCGCCUCCCGCUCCUCGUGAUUGCUCCACUGCACUUUCACAUACGGGAGACCCAGUUGAGCAAUUCUUUCGUCUCCAAAGCAAGAAUCUGCAACGGUCGCUCCUCAUAUCUCAGAUCCUCGCUAAUCUCUAGUGGAGUGAAGUAAAUCACGUGAGUGGGAUCGAAAACAUAUCUCUUCAAGGCUGGGACAUGGAAAACAUCAUAGAUGCCCGCAAGUCGCGGGGGUAGAGCUAUCCUGUAUGCCACCGGUCCGACUCGCUCCAAUACCUCGAAAGGGCCAACAAAACGUGGACUGAGCUUUCCACGUACUCCAAAUCGACGUAUCCCUCUGGAUGGCGAGACUUUGAGGAAAACAUGAUCUCCAACCUGAAACUUCAAGUCUCGUCUCCUGGUAUCGGCGUAGCUCCUCUGGCGGCCCUGAGCUGUCAAAAGGUGUCGUCGAACGACUCUCACCUUUUCCUCAGCCUCAAGUAAGAUCUUCGGUCCAAGUGUCCUCCUCUUACCCACAUCGCUCCAGAACAGAGGGGAUCGACAUCUGCGUCUAUACAAUGCUUCAAAUGGAGCCAUCUGAAUGCUCGUUUGAUAGCUGUUGUUGUACGCAUACUCAACCAGUCUCAUAUGUCGAUACCACCCUCCUCCAAAAUCCAGGACGCAUGCCCUCAGCAUGUCCUCUAGAGUCUGUAUGGUCCGCCCUGACUGACCAUCUGUCUAUGGGUGGAACGCCGUGCUAAAAUGCAGCUGAGUGCCCAAGGCUGUCUGAAGGCUCCUCCAAAACUGGGAUACAAACCUCAGGUCUCUGUCUGACACAAUUGACACUGGCACGCCGUGCAGCUUGACGAUCUCAUCCAAGUAUAGCUGCGCGAGUCUCUCUCUGGACCAGGUAGUCUGAACCGGUAGGAAGUGAGCAGACUUGGUCAGUCUGUCCACUAUAACCCAAAUAACAUCGUAGCCAUCCUGUGCUCUAGGCAAUCCAACGACGAAGCCCAUCGUGAUGUACUCCUACUUCCACUCUGGCACUAGCAGACUCUAAAGCUUGCCAGCAGGCACCUGAUUCUCGGCCUUCACCUGUUGGCACGUCAAACACUGAACCACAUAUCUGCCAAUGUCCCUCUUCAUUCCAGGCCACAAGAAUUGUGCCUUUAAAUCCUUAUACAUUUUGGUUCCCCCAGGGUGAACCGUAUAAGGAGAACAAUGAGCCUCUCUCAGAAUGUCUGCUUGAAUCUCUGAAUCCACAGGCACACACAGUCGGUCCCGGUACCGCAGUACUCCCGAACCGUCCGAAGUAAAACCCUCAGCCUGCCCCAUGUCUAGCUGCUCUCUAAUCCUCAACAAGUACGGAUCUCCACUCUGUUUCUCUCAGAUCUUAUUCAACAGAGUGGGCUGCAAAACUAGAGAUGUCGACCUCGCCGUAGAACCAGGGGGUACUAUCUCGAGUCCCAGCCGCUGUAGCUCCUCGAGUAGGGUCUCUGCUUACUGAUCAUCAAACUUAGGCUCUCCACUGACUUCCUGCUCAACGCAUCUGCCACAACAUUCGCCCUGCCGGGAUGAUACUGAAUACUAAUGUCAUAGUCCUUCAGUAACUCCAACCACCGGCGCUGCCUCAGGUUCAGCUCCCUCUGUGUGAACAGAUACUUGAGACUUUUAUGAUCCGUAAAUAUCUCGCAGUGCUCGCCGUACAAGUAAUGCCGCCAGAGCUUCAAAGCAAAAACCACCGCGGCAAGCUCCAAGUCAUGCGUAGGGUAAUUCUUCUCAUAAUCCUUUAACUGCCGUGAAGCAUACGCAAUCACCCUAUCAUGCUGCAUCAGCACGCAACUAAGUCCACUAUGCGAUGCAUCACUAUAGAUCACGAAUCCUUCUCCCAUCACAGGAAGGGCAAGGAUAGGAGCUGACGUCAACCUCAGUCUCAACUCAUCAAAACUUCUCUGACAAUCCUCACUCCACAUGAAUCUAAUCCCCUUUCGCAUCAAGCGUGUGAGGGGUGUGGAAAGCUUCGCAAAGCCUUCCACAAACCGACGGUAAUAUCCUGCCAGUCCCAGGAAGCUUCGUACCUCAGUCACCGUCGUCGGUCUAGGCCAAUCUCGAAUCGCCUCAAUCUUCUUCGGGUCCACUGCUACUCCCUCAGCUAAAAUCACGUGGCCCAAGAAAGCAACCUCCCGUAGCCAGAAUUCGCACUUCUUUAACUUGGCAUACAGCUUCUUCUCUAGCAAAAGCUGUAGCACAAUCCUCAAGUGCUCCUCAUGCUCAGCAUCACUCCGGGAGUAAAUCAAGAUAUCGUCGAUGAAGACUACCACAAACCUAUCUAAAAACGGCUUGAACACCCGGUUCAUCAAAUCCAUGAAUGCGGCAGGGGCAUUCGUCAAUCCAAAAGGCAUCACUGUGAACUCAUAAUGCCCGUACCGAGUCCGAAAAGCCGUCUUGGGAACAUCCUCGGCCCUCACCCUCAGCUGGUGGUAACCUGACUGGAGAUCAAUCUUCGAAAAGACAUAAGAUCCCUGCAGCUUAUCAAACAAAUCAUCAAUACGCGGCAAGGGAUACUUAUUCCUGAUGGUCACUUUAUUCAGCUCCCGGUAGUCCACACACAGUCUAAGUGAACCAUCCUUCUUCUUUACAAACAACACUAGCGCUCCCCAAGGCAACACACUGGGUCUCACAAACCCUCUAUCCAUCAAAUCCUAAAGCUGCACCUUUAGCUCUCUCAGCUCUGCUGGUGCCGUCCGAUAAGGUACAUUCGAGAUUGGUGCAGUUCCAGGAACUACAUCAAUCACAAACUCAUUCUCUCUCUCCGGCGGCAACGUCGUCAACUCAGGGGGAAAUACAUCCGGAAACUAGCGGACUACAGGGAUAUCCUCGAGUCCCGGCGCCGUCGUAGGUACCUCAACAAUAGUCGCCAGGAAGGCAACACAUCCUCUACUCAUCAACUGUCGAGCCCUCGUCGAAGAUAUCCAAGUGGCAAACAAUGUGCUCCUGCAGCCUCUAAAAGUGAACUUCUCCUGGUCUGGUUCGUGGAACGUUACCGUCAUCGCUCCACAAUCGAUCGUAGCAUAGUACCGCGCCAGCCAAUCCAUACCGAGAACAACGUCGAAGUUCUGUAGCUGCCCUAGCACCAACAGAUCUGCGGGCAUGAUCCAAGAAUCCAACUGCACCGGACAUGACCAACAACACUCUACAACCUGUAACACAUGGUCGGAAAUCUGCACCUCUCGUGCCUGUGGCAAUGCCCCUAACUCUAGACCAUGCAACAAUACAAAUCCUCGGCUAACAAAAGAAUGCGAGGCGCCGGUAUCAAAAAAAAUACGGGUACGAAUGCCGAAAAUCAAAGUGAUACCUGCUACCACUCGGUCGACUGCUGAGGAGUCCUCCACCUGGGCUGCAUAGACCCUGCCGCUCGGAGCCUGCUGUCGCCGCUCGCCCUGACGCGGCACAGAUGAUCUGUCCUCCUGGCGGAAACUCGGUGCUGCUCCAAAGGAUGGCUGAGACGCUGGCUGCGCUGAUGCAAUAGAUGGUGCUGGUGAUGCUGCACGGGGACAAGCUACUCUCAUGUGUCCCGGCUGUCCACACCCGUAACAUCUUCCCUCUCACUGCUCGUCCUGCCGGGGCUAGUGUGGUCCCCCCGCAGAUCACACACUGCGGUGUUCUCUGAGUCUGUCCCUGCUAAUGGGAUCCCCUGGAACGCUGACGCCCCGAAGACCCACGACCCUGAGAGCACGAUCGUGGAGGUCUCGGCGGACGUCUGCUGCUCGACUGUCCUCCGUCAUAUGGAAAGGGGCACUUCCUGUCCUGACUCUGCCCCACGGCCUGAGUCCUCUCCUGCAGUGACACCUCACCUCUCUCUAUCCACAAGGCCUGCUCAAUAGAUGCAUCCAGGGUCCUCGACCUCUGCGUCCGCGCCAACCUAAAUAUGUCGGGUCUCAGUCCCUUCUCAAACAAAUAGACCCUGUGUAACUCGUCCCUAGCCACAAAUGGCACGCAGUUCAGGAGUCGAGUAAACUCCCGAAUAUACUCCUGCACUGGGCGAUCUCCCUGCUGAAUCCUCUUCAAAUCCUCUUCGAGCUUUUGUUUCACACUGUUGGGAAAGAACAUCCCAAACAGCAUUCCACAGAACUCAUCCCAUCCCAGCUGCAAAGCCACCAGUCCCUGCUCUCUCCUCACUCUCCUCCACCAGGCGUGGGCAUCACCUGCCAAGCAAUGGACUCCCAAAGACACAUGCUCCCUCUCAGGAAUGAACAAAUCCUCAAAUAACUUCUCCAUCGCACUAACCCAUCCCUCAACAACCCAGGUCUCAGUGCAACUGCCAUCGAAAAUCGGUGGAUCAAAACGGCGAAAACGGGCCAACCUCUAUGUCCACCGCUCUUGCUCGGCCUCAGUCAACGGUACUGGCCCCCUAGCAGGCGCAACUGGCGCUACAGAAACUGCUGCUGGCGGAGGGACUGCUGUAGCUGGUAUAGUCACUGGGGUAGUCGAAGGUAGAACAGACGACUCUGGUGCCCUCGGUGCUGAACUCUGGGGCGAAACUAGCCUCUCACACAUCCUCUCCAACAACUCCCUCUGCCGCCUCGUCACCUUUGUCAGGGCGGCUAACUGUGCACUCAAAUCUGGGGAUGCACUCGCCUCCGGUCAGGCCCUCUGCUCAACAACUGGGGGUGCACUCGACUCUACCUGCUCAGGCAUCUCGGGAGAUCUAGCACGAUCCUGCGCCAACUGCGCUCUCUCCCGCAACGACGGUCGGCCUCGGCGACGAUACAUAGCUGCAAGGAACAGAUCGGGGUCAGUUGAAAUACAAACACUCUCGACCCAAUCAACGAAAGUUUGGAAGGCGGUCCCUGUUUUCCUCCAAAAUUAUGUCGUCUGCAGCCAACAUAAUUUCUCAGGCCAAAACAGGAACACCUUCAGUCACUCGCUCCACUUUAGGAGGAGUUAGAACAAUUAAUCAUUGACUUUCGCAAUAAAUUACGCCUCUCGCGUCUUGCCUUCCUAAGGUUUGCCAAACUUAGAUUUUCUAGAUCCCAACGACCUAAAGCUAAGCUCUCAUACCAACUUAAUCUGUCACGCCCCGGAUGUCUCGUUCCCCGGGCACGCCGACAAACACGCCGUAUACAAAGGAGUUUCCCCUGUAUACGAAGCGAUUGCCGUACCUGUAAAUCAUACACUACUACGAACAGUAGUAGAGAGCUACUAGAGUAGCAAGAGCUAAACAAACUGAGUUUCAUAUACAUAGUCCAAAACCAAAAUACAGAAUUACUCGCACUGGCGAGUUAAGUAUACUAUGUACAUAAACUCAAAACAAAACAUCUACCUGCAGUAAGGGUGGCUCUAGCUCUGCUCGUCGGGUAGGGUUCUAACUCGCGACGUCCUUACCUCGAUCCUGAUCCGCGGAAGGCGCAGCAGCCGAAACAUGUGGCUCUGCAAAACAGGGGUAACAACUUGGCAUGAGAACUACUGUAAAAACAAGUAGUCCUCAGUGGGUACUGCCCAAAACAACAUCGGUCCACCCACUAGGUCUACAGUAAGGAGCAAAGGUAGUAGUAAAUACAGGAAUGAAAUCUAUCGCUAUGAAUCACUACACUAUCAAUGCUCUACGCUAACCAACUGUAGGAAAAUGUCAAAUCUAACCCAAUCCAAUCGGGACUGUAAACAUACCCGUCCCUGGGACUGUGAACGCACCCGUCCCUGCCCAGUUGCGACUAUCCGACUACCUCCACACUAACUGGUCCGUUGAGAGCAAGUCCAACCGGCAUGAGCGACACCAACGCAAAAACACAAAGCCCGCCUCCGGAGUGGCACUCGUGGGCGCUACCCAAUCGAGUAUGCAGCGUAUCUCUGUCGAGCUCAAUCAGGCUCUGAAAAGCCAAAGUCAAGUAACCGACUCUAACUGGUCUAACAAACCACCGUUCACGUUCCCUCAACACAAUCUGUCGCCAAAAAGGCGAUCCGGGUCGACCGUCAACUCUGACGGCAUCCAACAGUUCGGAACAGCCCAAAAGACCCUGUAAAAAUUCAUUCGGCGUACCAGCAUGAGUAUAAAUGCAUGCUAAACUAUCUGGAGUACUCGUCUCGAGGAUACUGCGAUAGUACAAUUUUAUAACGCCUCCUAGAGCUAAAUCAGGCAGUUUAAACAAGUGACAGGUCCAAAUCGCAGGUUUUCUCCUAAUUCAAAUUUCAAGUCCAACAUGUAUAAACUACUCAUUUUAUUACCAUGUGCUCCAAAUUCAGAUUUGCAAUCUAUAAUAUAAUCCAUGAAUUCGAGCUAGAAUAGACUACCAAAAAUCAAAAUUUAUACAUAUCGACGAUUAGAACUUAGGAGUCAAAACCGAUGUAACCCACCUCAAAAAGCUAAUCCCUGGCAGCGAAGGACUCCCACUGGUGUAAAGCGACCUGCUGGAUCAACCGAAAUCCACCGAGUCCAGAAUCGAGCUAACUCUACCCUCCACACAACACAAGUCACCACUUUCAGUCCAGAAAUUGCAACAGUGAGGUACAACAGGGAUUCGACCAAGCUAACCUUCACCAAAUCCCGUAAAUAAAGGUUUUGUGGAUUCCUCUCGAAAUCCUGAAUCCAACGAACCAAGUCUCGUCAAAAUCCGAUGCUCCAGCGUCGAGUACGAGCUGAAAUACUAACAGUCGACGAUGAAUUUCAACAAAACAGCAUCACUUGAGUUCGAAGUAGUAAGAACUUGCCCAAAACAAUGGCAAUGCUGAAUUACCCACCUCGACAACACCAAGCACCGCUGCGACAGUAAGAACGGCGAAAACCCACGCUCGCCCAGCCUCCUCACGCUACCCCGGUGUCAAACACGUACCCGAACGGCUUCGCGGCGCGACGUCGGCAACAACACCGAACUCCACCCGAGCUCUGCCGCAACCGAGUGUAGAGAGAGAGAGGAGAAGUAAGAAUUCUCUCUCUCUCUCAGCUCAACACGAUCCUAUAUAGAGAGGAAGAGAGUUGGUGAUACAAAUGAGGGAUAAAAUUACCCAUUUAGCCCUCUACCUACCCUCUUGUACCGGUAUACGGGCUCCUGUACCGGUAUUGUACCGGUAUACGGGCUCCUGUACCGGUACAAGAGCCAACCCGAGAGCAAUCUGCGCAUCUUCACUGGUUGUACCGGUACAGACACGCUGGUUGUACCAGUACAGCAAGCAGAGAAAUCUGCUGUACUGCAGAUUUCUUCGCUAUAAGCUGUUCUCGCGUCGCACGGAGUCCGUUUUGCGUCUAUUUGACGCCAACGCGACUCGGGCUUGUCCCGACACUCUUCAGAGCUCCGACAAAGCCUCCACAACUGUACAACCAGGACCCUCACAAACGAGUUUAGCCAUUGGAUGGAGAGAUGUAGGUGUUGCGAUGAUGAGAGUGGAUAGAUGAAAUAUUGUGAAUCCAAAAGGGUUAUCAGUAAUCAAGGUAAAUCCAAGGGCUAAAAACCCAAAAGCACUAAAAAGGAGUUGUGCUUUUUGAAGUAUCUAGCUCAAUUCAUAAUAAAUAGCUAUGUAUAUAUGAUAAAUAUAUAUAUAUAGGUAGUAUUAUGUAUAAUAUAGAGAGAGAAAGAGAGAAAGAGAGAGAGAGAGAGAGUUCCUACUAUACUCUAGAGUACCGAUCACUUUCUGCGACUCAUAAGUCGUUUUGAUAUAACUUCCGAAUGCUGACGAUCCAUACCAUUAACACAUAUCUAGAAUAUAAAUCAAAGAUUAAUUUAAAUUUCGCAGCAUUUACCUUAUACGAUACAAAGCUCACAAAAUUGAUUUUUAACGUCGGUGUUAUGAUGACAUCUUGCCUAGUUUGAACCGAGUAGGAAAAAGCAAAUGGUUAAAUUUUUAUAGAAAAUCAUUCGCACGUAAGGAUAAGCGGGAAAAUUAAAAAUCCAAAUGUUAAAACUUGAAGGAUCCCGAUCAUCCAUCUUUUAAGGACACCGAUUGACGUUCAUUUAUCCCCUUAUAACUUGGGUUGAAUUUGAAAAAUACAAAACUUAUUUUUAAAGAGUUUCAAAUACUUAAUCAUACUUUUAACGAGUGGAUCUUCGAUUCGAAGCUCAUCAUCGAAACAACUUUAUAGUACAAAAGGGCUCAUAUCUCAUAAGAAAAUAUUAGUCCUAGCAAUAUAACGUAUUUAAUGAUAGCGUACUAUAGGUUAUAUAUGUUAUAAAUUAAGAAGAAGAGAGGAAGACGAGAGAGAAGAGGAGGAUAGAAAGGUAGAGAUCUACAUCAUCGGAGUAACAAUAGAGCGCCCCUGUUACAAUUUUUUUCCUAUGCNNNNNNNNNNNNNNNNNNNNNNNNNAGCGCUCCGUGCUACCAAGUUGUUUUCGAUGAUGCGGCUUCCAAAUCGACGAUCGGCUCCGUUAGACUUGAUCUACACUAUUGAAAGUAUUUGGAAACUAAAUUUCAGAUUUUUUCGACAUCAUUUGACUAGUGAUCAAAAGAUCUCAAAAUUGACAAUUUUAAUGGCUGAUGUGGUGUAUUUGUGAGUUUAAUAGUGUAAAACAAUCCAAAUACAAUGAAAAUUUUAUAAAAAAUUCUUUUCACUAUUUAGAGUAAGAUCAGUAUAUCUAAUCUUGAAUUUAAAUCUUUUAUCAUCAUUUUUCAUGAGAUUUUUAUUUUCAGCCGUUUAAUUUUAGACUACUUGUUUGAUAGGUAAAUGAUAUAGAAAAAUUAUGGAAUUUAGUUUCUAAAUACUUUCAAUAGUGUAGAUCAAGUCUAACGGAGCCGAUCAUCGAUUUGGAAGCCGCAUCAUCGAAAACAGCUUGGUAGCACGGAGCGUUCCGUGCUACCGAUAGUAUAGUAGCCUAGUUCUAUAUAUAUAUAUAUAUAGAGAGAGAGAGAGAGAGAGAGAGAGAGAGAGAGAGAGAGAGUAGGGCUAUUGUGCUAUUAGGAACACAGCGGCCAUUGUGCUCCUAAGUUCUUAACCGCCCAUUAAAUUUUAUGGGUGGUUAGGGUGAAAGGAAGAAGAGAAAUUGGAGAGAAAUUGGGCUUCUCAAUUUCUCAUAUCUUUGAAUUUCUCUUCAAUUUUUUUUUUUUCUCUCUCACUCUAACCAUCUAUCAAAAUUGAUGGACGGUUAGGAACUUACAAGCACAAAAACUGCUAUGCUCCUAAUAGCACAGUAGCCUACUCUUUCUCUCUAUAUAUAAUCUAAUUAAGAUUAUUAUUCAAUAUGAAACCAAUAAUUCUAAUCAGAUUACAGUAAACAAUAAGAUAUUCUAUAAAAUGAUAAAUGUUUAUCUAAAUCUUGUCUCGUACCCAUGCUUAGCCCUUUUUAAUUUUUCUCUCAUUUAAUUUCAGUCCAUUCACUUUUUAGACUUAUUGGCAAGUUAAUCUCGAGCACAGACGGAGAGAUAAUAUUGAAUAUAAAUGAUUGAAAUGCCACUCUCAUCUAUCUUAGAUUAUAUUUAUUUGGAUUAUUUUUUUUUUAGAAAAAAAUAGCACACUAUUUGUUUCAUCCAUUAAAAAAAUAAAUUAAGUUUCAGAGAUGAGGUAAUAGAUUUCGAUCAAAAGGAACAAAAAAAUAAAAAAUUAAGAAUGGUACCGUUUAGACGAGAGAAGUUCCUCCCAUGGGGUCGCCAAUUUCUUUAUCUAUGAACCGCUAACAGAGGGUCAAUGUUAGCCUUUUUAAAAAUAACAUUAUUCCUGGCAUCCCAGAUAACACACCAGUAGACCGGUCAGUCCAGUUUGAGUUAUUUGUGAUCUACUCAUUAUCAUCCACCUACCUCAGACGAAUCUCUAAUCGUCCUCCAAAUUCCUAAGUUGAACCCCCCUCCAAAGUCGUCACGUUCAGAAAUCGACUAAAAGUAUAUUACAUGAAUAAAGAGUCCAUUUUCUCCUCUUGGAUCCCACAAAGCACACAUGAUGUAUUUUCCGUCCAUCCUCUCUUCAGCAAAUUUUUCAUUGUAAGUAUCCUCUUCUUAAGAAUUAACCAGCUAAAUACUUACACUUUCAAGGAUAUUCCGAGUCUUCAAUCUUACUUACUCGAACGUCCCUCAUAUCCCUAUCAUUCAGCACUGAAUAAGUCGAUUUCACAGUGAAUCUUCCAUUAGUACUCCACCGUCAAAUCACUUCAUCUGGUCUCUGUUUUAUUUAUUUCAAAUGUCGGCAUUCCAAGAGUAGAUAUUUCGAUUAUCUUAAUUAGAGUUAAUACACAUUAAUUAGAUUAAUUAGAGCUUUCAUUAAAGUCAAAUAUGAUACACAAUGCACAUUCCAAUGGAAUUCUCCCAACUUUGAAACAAGUUGGUGACUACACACAUUCACAUUAGUAGGUGUGUGGAAAUUAAUUAAAUCAAUGUUGAGACUCUCGUGAACUCCGUUCUCCACGUGUCGUACGUGUUGACUAAUAAGUGCACAAGUUUUCUAAGUCCAAGUGACUUUUGUUGAAAAAAAAAAAAAGAAAAUUAGUAUAUUAUAUAAGUAUAUAUAGAUUGAAUAGCACCUAACGCACUAAUCUUAGCAUCUAUUUAAAAUAUAGGUGGAGAUGAAAGUACAUAUCUUUGUUCUAUUAUUCAAAGCAUUAGGCUUCUUUUCUGGGAUAGUGUAUAGUGAGGCUCAUUAGUUUACGUCAUACCAAGGUCUUAUACUAUUAUAGUGUCAACAGGAUCCGGAUUCGAGAUGCAGGAUUUUCAAAAUCCGAACUCCGAGCCCGACUCCAAACCCAGGGGAGAGAUCACGCAUAUCCAAACCCGAACCCGACAAAAAAUUCAAAACCCGAACCCGAACCCGAAAUAAUUAAUUUUUUUUACAAUAUUUUAAAAUAUAUUAUAAUAAAUCUAAAUUUUUAAAAUACAAAUUCAAAUAUAACAUUAAAUUUAUAUUUAUAUAUAAAAUACAAAAUAAAUUCGGGUUCUGGUCGGGUUCGGGUUCGGGUCGGGUACAGUCAAAAUCCAUAUCCGAAUUCAUAUCCGUCAGGUUUCUAUUUUUGAUAUCCAUAUCCGAAUCCAUAUCCAUUUAGCAUCGGAUAUAUCCGUUUUGUUCAGAUUCGGGUUCGGAUAAAAUUUCGGGUAUCCAUAUCUAUUCUCGAGAUGGAUGUACUAGCGGAGCACUUGAUAGCACUAGUUUCUGGUAUAGCAUAUUCUAUAUAUACUUUUUCGGAGUAUUUCUAUUCAGUAAUAAUUUAUGCCAAUGAAAGCACACUUGAGUUGCGACAGAUCAACUUUCACAAAAACACAAAAUUAAAAAAAGUUGAUUAAAAAAAUUAGUAAAAAUAUAAAAAAAAUAGGAAAAAGAAGUCAAAUUAAGAGUAAAAAAUAAUAAAAGUAGAAUAUAUUAAGAAUAAAGUACAAGAAAGAUAAAAAAAGAAUAAGAGGAAAACCGUUGGAAUAGUAAAAUAUAUUUAUAGCAUCAAUAAAAGUUAAAGGACUAAAAUAUCACGUACUUCAUAGUUCGAACUAGAAACUAUAAUUAAUUAAAGUUUGAGACGUGCCUUAUAGUUUGUUAUAACGUAUUAAAGUUUGCGAACUAAAGUAUUACGCAUCUCAUAGCUUGAGGACCAAAAGUGCAAUUUAUUUUAUAUAUAUAUAAAAUAUAUAUAUGAAAUAAGAGUUGAGAAUUCAUGGAUUUUCUUUAAUUAGUGAUUUUAUUAGGAAAAAUAACUUGCUAAAUUGUCUAAUAAAACUUAGAAUGUUUAAAAAAAAAAAAAAAAAAAAAAAAAAAAAAAAAAAAAAAAAAGAGGAAUGGGGCUCAAACCCACCCAACAUUCCCCAAAUUUAUAUGGAGGAACUCAAACUUCAUAUAUGUAAUAUAGAUAUAGAUGGCAUAAAAUUUUGAUCAAAAAUUAUAAAAUCUAUCUUAAUAUUUUAUGAUACAUUUUAAUUCAACUAUCUAAUUAUUAUUAUAAAGUUUCAUUUCACUAAUUAGAAUUUUAUGACAGAAGAGUCAUUAAAUGGCUUAAAUUAAAUUAGAUAAUAAUAAUAUCAAAAGUUUUUAUUAUAAAAUUAGAUCAAAAUAGUCCAUAGUUCUGAUAAGUUUUAUAUAAAUUUAUUUUUAAAAAAUCUUGUGUGAUUGCAAAUUUGGUAUCUUUUACAUUUAGACUGAAUUUACACGUAGACGUGCCGUUAUCUAAUGAUAUUAGAAAUCAGGAGUAUAAUUAAAUAUCAAAAUGAUAUUAAACAUUAAAUUUUGAAAUCGUAUUUUUAGAAUUUAAGACAAAUCACUUGGUAAGUAAAAUACGCCAUCAUAUCAAAUCAUCGAUGUUAUGAUAAUUUAAGAGGCAAAAAUCAAAUAAAUUAUCAUCAAACUGCCUAUUUCGCUCGCAUGUUCGCGACACUAGAAAUUUAAGAUAUUAAGAAAAAGUAAGAUAAAAAAAUGACUUGAUAUUUCUAAAGGGCCCUCAAAACCGGCCCGAUAGGGCUUCGUACGUAGCCCGACCCAUAAAGUUUUUUUUUUUAAUGAAAAGUUAAUGGGGCCCCAACCCAACCCGACCCAACCCAAUCCAUCUAAAAAUAUUCUACAUGAAUAAGCUCAUCUAAGUUUUAGGUUCAUUGGGCUAGACUAUAUUUGUGUUGUAACAACAGACACAAUCUCUGUAUAAUUACUGUGUGCAGAAAUUUUUUACUCACGAAAUAAUCGCACUGCGAAUCUAGAGAAGGGCGCAUCUAAGCAUAUGUCUCGGUACGACCCUAUUCAAAUGAUUUUGAUUCUUUUUUUUUUUUUUGAAUAAUAAUUGUAUGAAAGUAAGUUCUUAGAAUUUCACUUUCCCAUGCACUUUGGGUACUCACUAGGUAGUAAUCAAACAUCGACUUAAAUUUAUAAUAAUCAUCCCAAAUUUCUAGGCCUAAAUGAUACAAUUCGUUUAUGUUAUACACUGUUUACUAAUAUGGAAGAAUUUUUUUUGUAAAUUGGCUAUAAAAUAUAAGUUUCGAGAUAUAUAUAUAGUCCCAAUACUACAAUUUCUUUUGCUUUUAUAUAUAUCUCCCUAUUUUAGUAAAAAAUGAAAAAUAAAAUAUCUUGCUAAAAGAAACGAACCGAUCCAGAGCUUAAAGCAAUACGUGAAAAUACCUCUCACUUUUUAUGGAGAUCACGUUUUUAUUUUUUAGAAAAAACUUAAUAGGGGACUGUUGUUUUUUAGGAAUAAUUGCCUAUAUAUCCCUCAAAAUAUGGAAAAUAUUUAUUUACCCCUAUAUUUUUUUUUCUUUCCAAUAUAUUUCUCAUAUCUUUCUCCGUUAUUUCAAAAUACCCCUACAAUUAUCAACCGUUAAAUUAACUUGGGUUAAAAAUAAGUUAAAUAUCUACCAGAGUUAAAAAAAUUAAAAUAUCUUUUUUAUCCUUAACUUAAGAGCAAAUAAGAAAUAUUUGUGACGGUAGAAGGGUAUAUUUGACAAAUAAGAAAAGUCAGUGAUGACAGAAAGAUAUUUUUGAAAGGAUAAAAAUAGUAAUUUCAUAGAAAUAACAACUAUUGCUAACAGUUUAUUAACAGAUUUUAACUCUAGAGAUAUAUUUGAAAUAGGUUGAAAUGUAAAAAAUGUAUUUUCAAUAUUAGCUUUCUAAGAGAGAUAAAUCAGAAAGUCGAAAACUUUUUAAGAGUAUAUAAAUAAUUGCCCCUGUUUUUUUAUCAAUCCCCUUAUCUUCUAGUCCUUAUGAAAAAUAUUAUGUUCAUUUUCACUAAACACCCAAUUGAAAAUUUUCCUUUUUUAGAAUAUGAUUGCACAGGUCUUUGAUUCGGCACCAAUCAGCCUCGUGCCACUUCGAACAUAAUUUGGCUCAACUCGACCUCUCCUACUGUUUUGAACAUCACUCGAUCCAACCUAACCUUUCGCCAUGAGGUAAGAUGCUGACCCUUUAAGCCAACACUAUAGAGGGUUGAUUUCUCUUCAUAGAAAUGUAUGAUCGAGUACAUAUAAUUAAUGCCAUUGAAGAAGAUGAGGAGUUCAAGCUAAAGAAAAGCCCAUUGUUGUAUCCUUGUUAUAAAGUUCCCUACACAAGCAAAGCGUAAUGAAGAGAGAAAUUAAAGUUGGAAGAAAAUGAAAUGAGCCAAUGAUAGAUGAUAGCGACAGACUAAUGAUAUUGUUCUAACAUAAGGUGCAUGCAUGUAGGCAUCUUACAACGCGAGAACUUCUAAAAGUAUUCUAACUCUAACUCUACAUAAUGCGUAACCUUGAUCCAAAUUGCGACGAAAGUCGAGUGGAGGGGUGUGCAACAUUAGGUCUCGUUGCUAGGAUAAUACCUAUUGUAUUUUGUAAAGUCGGUCGAAAAAAAGGCUCAUCGUAAGUCAUACAGCUUAGUGCAUGUUUUGUUCCAUGCACUUCUAUUGCUGUUUGCAGCAACAAUCAUCUAGAUUUCAAUUAUUUUGGCAUAAAAAGAAUUAAAAAUGAGAUUUUAAUGCUCAAAAGUAGCGGCACCAUCUCACGGGCUUAAGCAUUUCACUCGCCAAAACCCGUGAGGCGCUCGCCUUCCUCUGCGAAGAGAAGCAGGCUUGCCUCUAUCUUGUUAAUUCGGGUCUAACUCGCCCCAAGACUACAUUAUAAGGAAGAAAGAGAGAAAGAAAGCGAAGCACUUCGAGAAAUUGGAACUGCUGUAUUUCUUUGUUAUUUAAAAGAAAAAAAUUACAGGUUGUUGCAGUUGAAGGGUUUGGAAUGACCUGAAGCUUACUACUUCCAUUUAUAGGCCUCUGGCAAGUAAAAGUGGGGAAGGGAGCCAAAGGAGGAGACAACUACUAUUUGUCAAUUUCCAUCUAACUAUACUAACUGCAAUUUUUAGAAACUGGAUGAACUAUAACAAAAUAUGUCUUAGACCACGCUUUUUUAUGUAACGCUUUAUUCUACCGUCUUCAAUAUUUGGCAUGUACCGAAUCUCAUGAUUAAGUGUCGCUAAUAAAUAUGUUUUUAUUAAAUAUCAAUAAAAACUUUCCGACGCUAUAUUGAAGCGUCGGUAUAUUUAUCCCGACAUGUUUACUUAACAACUUUUUGCUCGACGCUUUUACAAGUAUUGGGUUAUUCUUGCUGACACUUUAAAGUGUCGCUCGAUCCUUUGAGUUUGUGCGAUUAUGAGGGCAGACAUAUAUGAUUUUGUAAUGCGCUCGACAACCGGCUCUAGUUUGAGCCUCCAUUUGGUCUAUAGACGAAAAUAUGGUAGAAAAUUUUUUAUUACAUUGCCUGUUUAAGAAAACAACUCUUAAAUAUAUAAUUGUAUUUCAUUUAACAACACUACACCGUACGUACGACAAUACUAAACAAAAAUUUUCUAUCUAAUUAAAUCUCUCUCUCUCUCUCUACUUGCACAAUCAAACAUACGUAGGGUUUGAUCUAAAGGCUAAAGUAGCCACAGUGCAAAAUUAAUUAUUGGGUUCAAAUGAAUCUAAGGAGAUUACAGUUUUUUUCUUUUCUUUCUGGCUAAAAUAUAGAAAGUUCACUUGUAAAUACUCAUUUUUUUUACCCUACAUUUUGCCCCAAAAAAUUUGAAAUUUUUUUUCAGAUGGUUGGGAACUAAUAAAGAGAGAAAAAUAAUUAAAUCGCUCUUACUUCUUCUAUAAGAAAGAAAAUAACUUUUAAUAUGUUUUUAUUAUUUUGAAUGAUAUUUUCGGUAUAAAUUAUAAGAAAUGAAUAAAAUAGUAAUGAAAUUCUGCUAGAAAUGGGCUAAAUGUAACAACUUGAAAUAUUGAGUGGUUAAAAUAUAAACUUUUGAAAGUUGAGGAAAAAAAUUUAAAAAUAAAUAUUCAUAAAAAAAAUUUCUGUAAUUUAGUUUUUUUUUUUUCUUCCCAAGUUGGAUACACAUGAUACAAUGUACAACUCAAGUACUACAAUUAAAGGUGGUCCCAUUCAACGCGUCUUCUAUAAGUUGCAACAUGAUCUGAAAAGGGAAAAGGCUUAAAACCAUGAUAGAAACAAACGAAAGAACGUGAACAUGUUCCUUGAUCAACAAUUCCCUUCUUUCCAUUUAUAAAAUUUAUUUUUUAAAUACUUUCAAUAGUGUAGAUCAAGUUUAACGGAGUCGAUCGUCGAUUUGGAAGCCGCAUCACUGAAAACAACGUGCAGACUCAAGCCAGGCCUCCAGAAUUGCUAUCAAUAGUAUACAGCCAAAUUCUCUCUCUCUCUCUUCUCUCUCUCUCUCUCUCUCUCUCUUCUCUCAUAUAUAUAUAUAUAUAUAUAUAUAUAUAUAUAUUAUAGAGGAGAGAGAGAGAGAGAGAGAGAGAGAGAGUCCGGCUACUAUACUCUAUUGAGUAUAGAGUUUUGUACACAUAAAUUUUUUACCGUUUGAUCUACCCUUUAACCAUUUUCACUUGUUAGAUUAUACUAUUCAACCACCCACCCACUCAACCUGACUAGGGGGCCACUAUCAAUCUAACCGUAACCACUCUCAUUCCGACUGCACAUCUUUUUAUCUAAACGGCCGAAAAGAUAUCAGUACAAAGGGUCUAUAAUCAUUAUGUAUAUAGUCCCCAACCUCUUAAUAAUAUUAUAUAUAAAUAUAUAUAUAUAUAAUAUAAUAUAUAUAUAUAUAUAUAUAUAAUAUAUAUAUAUAUAUAUAUAUAUAUAUAUAUAAUUGAGCUCUUAUGCUUUUAAACGUACCAAGUCAUUGGUGCUUGUAAGUUUUCGAUCCUUGCAUUAAAAGAUGUGCAGUUGGGAUGAUGUGGCCCCCCUAGGGUUGAGCGGGUCGUUGGUUGAAUAAUAUAAUCUAACGGGUGAAAAUGAUCAAAGGCAUAAAUCUAAUGUUAGAAAAUUUACAAGCACCAAGUAUUUGGUGCUUUUACAACCACCAUAGCCGGACCAUAUAUAUAUAUAUAUAUAUAUAUAUAUAUGGAUUGCUCUACAUCGUUAAAUAAUGAAACAAUUUAUAUAUGCUAUCAAAAACUGUCGAUUUUGUAAUCAUUUCAUCAUUAUGUAAUUAAUUUCUAAAAAUUAUUAUAUUUAAUUUCUAAACAUUUAAUCAAAUACUCUAAAUCAAAUUUAAUGGUUUCGAUCAUCGAUUUUGAAUCUCUAUCAUCAAAAUCAACUUGAUAAGAUGAUGGUCUUCGUCCUCCUUAAAGGAUAUAGUAGCUGAAUUAUCUCUCUCUCUCUCUCUCUAGAUAUAUAUAUUUAUAUGUAUGGAAAUUGCGAAAAAUAGUUCAUUCAUAUACGAAUUGAAAAUUUGAAGGAAAAAAAAAAUGAAAAACUGAAACAGAUGAAAAACAGAAGGAGCAAAACGGAUAAAAAAACUGAAGGGAAAAAAAAAAAAAAUUUAUAAAGAACUUUUAUCUCAGGAGUGUUUGGUUUAGUUAUUGGCUGGUACAGUGUGUUUAAGGGGGACGGGAAUAAGUAAAUUUUUAUCCAAAUAAAAAAUUAAUCUUAUUCUAGUUUAUUCUCAAAAUUAUAUUAAUUUCAUAAAUAAAUAAUUCUUGCUUAUUUUUGAACCAAAUGAUACUUUAGGAAAAAAUAAUUGCACACAUUUUCCGUGCACACAUGAACAGUACCCUCCGAAGAAUUUAUGACAAAUUCGUAUUUUAAAUCUCCAUCGGUCAAUUGCUCAACUGUCGCAUUUAUGAAAAGCUAAACUAUUAAGCUACAGAUUGAGAUUGAAACAUGCGAUGAAAUAGACGGUGAGAAAUAAUUAGGUUUCUCAUUAUUUAAUGAGUGAGCUGCACACUUCUCGAAGAAAGGUUUCUCAUUAUUUAAUUAACAAGGUUUUCUGUGUAAUAAUUAGGGUCAACUUCAAAUGCCACUUCGCUGAUUUCACAUUUUUUUCACUUUAGGACUUUAUAAUUUAAAUUGUAUUAAUUUAGUACUCUAUGAUUGUAUUUUUGAAAAAACUUCAAAUACCUCCCUUGUGGUUUCAUUUUUUCUCACUUUAGUACUCUGUGGUUUAUAGUGUAUCAUGUGGUUGUGCACUUUUUCACUUUAGUACUAUGUGGUUUAAAGUGUAUUAAAUUAGUACCUGUGAUUUCGCACUUUCUCACUUUAGUACCAUGUAGUUUCGUACUUUCUCACUUUAGUAUCCUGUGAUUUAAAAACCAUAGGGUACUAGCUUGGUACAAAAAUAAAACCACAUGGUACUAACAUGAUACAAAAAUAAAACUAUAGAGUACUAACUUCAUACACUUUAAACCACAGGGUAAUAAAAUGAGAAAGUACAAAACCACAGCGUACUAACUUGAUACACUUUAAACCAUAUGAUACUAAAAUGAAAAAAUACGAAACCACAGGGUUUUUUUUUAAGUUUUUCUUGUAUUUUUAACUCUCUGUUAAAUCUUAUACAAAAAACUUCAGAUACCCCACCUAUAUAUAUUUUAUGGAAUAUUCAUUUUAGUACUAUGUGAUUUACUGAAUUUUUAUUUUGGUACCCUUUGAUUUUAACUUUAUCACUAAUAUAACGGAAAAAAUUAACAGAGGAAAUAACAGAAAGAGAAAAAUGAAACAUGAUACUAAAGUAAUAUAUUUUAAACCACAGGAUACUAAUGUGAGAAAGCGCGAUGGUAUUUAAAGUUUUUCCUAAUAAUUAUUUUAUAUAGAGAUUAACAACGCCUAAGCAAUUUUUUUAUGUUUUUAAGCAUUAUUUCAAUAAAGUUAUUACCUUAUCUUUUGUUAAAUCCUUCCUCAUAUCAAUAUUCAUUAUUUGAGUUAAUUAAAGCUCUGAAGCAAAGUCCAACGAGUCUAAUGAAACUCAGAAUGAAAAAAAUUAACCCAUACGUUGAGUUUUUAGUAUUAUACUUUUUCUCAAAAUUUUGAAUCAUUGAUUUUUUUUUUCUUUUAACAUCAUUUCAUGCAAAUAAAAUCAAUUUUCAAAACUUAUAAAAUUUGGUUCGAAUAUUGUAAACAAUUUCUAGUUUUUUUUUACUUUUUUACCUGGUGAACGAGUAACUUCAAAAUGGGCGACUGAUAAUAAAAAUUUCAUAAAAAAUAAUGAUAGAAAACUCAAAAAUUGAAAUCUAAAUUCGUUGUUCAUCUUUAACCAACUUAUUAGGUUGGUUUCCUCUUCUUCGAUCUAUAAUGUUGAAUGACAUGAAUUAUGUUAUGAUAUUAGAUACAAAAUGAAAUCUUAAAUUAUAUAUAAAGGGUAAACUUCAAAUACCACCCCUGUGGUUUCAUGUUUUCUCACUUUAGUACUCUAUAGUUUCAUUUUUUUCUUUUUAUUGUCACCCUCGUCAACUCUUUAUUAAAUCAUAUACAAAGAACUUCAGAUACUUCAUCUAUGGUUUAUCGAAUAUUCACGUUAGUAUCCAGUAGUUUACUAAAUUUUCAUUUUAGUAUACUUUAUAUAUGGUUUUAACUUUGUCACUGAUUUAACGAAAAACUUAACGAAGAUAGUAACGAAAAGAGAAAAACAAAAUCACAGAAUACUAAAGUGAUUAAUUUUAAACCAUAGGAUAUUAAAAUGAGUAAGCGCGAAAUUACAAAGGUGGUAUUUGAUGUUUUCUCGUAUAUAAAUGUUAAAAGUAUCUACACAUAAUAAUAAGUUUUAAGAUCGCAUGCUAAAUACAUCUUAGUACGUGAUGCUGUUACGUAUUAGCUACGCAAUAUUAUGUAUUGGAUUUCGUGUGAUCUUAUUUUGAAUAUAACGUGAAGGAUAUGGCCACUUAAUAUUUUAAAUUUAAACUAAUUAAAAUUGGUUUAAGCUUUGAGUGUACGUGUAAAUGUACAUAUAAAUAUAUAUUUAUCUCAAAUCAAUAUAAAUUAAAUCUACAAUAAAAAUUAUAUUUUAUAAAUUUAUAUAGUAUAUUUUAUUAGAAAAUAUCUGUAAUAUCUUAUAUUAUUUUUUUUAUAUACAUUGAAUAUUUUUAUAUAUUUUUCGAAAUAUGAUGACUCUAAAAUUUAAGUAUAUGUUUUAUACUAAAAACAUCAAGAUUUAAUUCACAUUUACUUUAAAAUUUAAAACUCAAUUUUGAUACACUAUAAUUAAAAAAUUUUAAUUGUUAAUUCAAAUUUGAUAUUUAAAAUUUAAUUUAAUUCAUGAUUUAAACUCAAAUUUUAAUUCUAAUGUAAAAUAAAUGGAUAAGAAUGUUAUUUUUUAAUAGAUUAAUCAUAACCUUUUAUUUUUAUUUGAGAUAUUUUUUAACAAAUUAAUCAUAACCGUUCGUAGGAUUAGAUUUAUAGAUGGAUAGGAAUGCUAUUUUCUAACAGAUUAAUUAUAACCGUUCGUUCUUAUUUAAUUUUUUAUUCCAUCCUAUACUCUUUUAUAUAUAGUAUAAAUAGACUAGAAUACUAUUAAUAGCACAAAGUUAUUGGUGCUCUUAGGUAUAUAGUAUUUGGAUGAUUAUUCCAAGGAUAUAUAGUUACAAAUUCAGUAAUAAAACGAAACUAGAGUAAAAAUUUUUAUUUAGAUGAAAAUUGGGUUGUUUCGGAGGAGAAUAACGUAAAUAGUGUUUGGAUAGUUAGAUUCGAAUGACAGGAAUAAAAGUAAUUAUAAUUUUAAAUUAAUAAUAUUUUAUCUAAUUAAUUAAUAUCAAAAUAUUAAUUAAAAAUAAUUUAAUAAAUUAAAAUAUUUAUUAGCUAUGAAUAUUGUAUAAGAUAAUAAAAAAAUACAUUAAUAAUUAAUUAUAUUAAUUAAUUGUUUAGUUAAUUAGAAAAUAUAACUUAACUUUUUAAUUAAUUAGUAUAUUAUUAAUUUAAAAUUUUAAUUAGUUAAUAUAAUAAAUUAAUUAAAUAAUUAAUAUAAAAAUUAAUUAUUAAAUAAACAUGUUCCACCCUUAUUCUCUCUUAUUCCCAAUCAUGAAGAACUACAAUUUUUGAAUUCAAAAAAUAGAGUUGGGGUAUAAGGGUUUAUUCCCCUCUUUAUACCCGAACCAAACAUUACCUUAGUAUUGUUUGGUUCGAGGAUAAACAAAAAAUGGCUAUUCCAGGGAUAGGUAUAAAUUGAGGUAUAAACGGGGAUUAGAUCAAUUUUGCGUUCGGAUGAAAAUUGGGUUAUUCGAAUAAAAAAAAUAGCGUUUGGUUAGUUAAGAUGGAAUAAGAAAGAUAGUGGGUUUUAUAAAUAAAAAAUAAUCAUAUUAUCCUCUUAUUAUAUUUAAAUUUAAAUUUUUAAAUUUUUAAAUAUAUAUUUUUAAAUUUAAAAUUUUAACUUUGAAAUUUCAAAUUUGAAAUUUAAAAUCUCAAAUUUUAAUUCAAAAUUUUAAAUUUUAAUUUCAAAGUUUAAAUUUUAAGAUCAAAUUUAAAUUUGAAAAAUAUAAAUAUAAAUUUAAUUUCAAAAUUAAAUAUCAAAAAGAAAAAAUUUAAAUUUAAAUUUAAAAUUUAAAAUUAUAAACUUUAAUUUUGAGAUUAUAAAUUAUAAAUUUUAAAAUUAAAUUUUUAAUUUUUAAAUUUUUAAAAAAAGAAUAGGGUGGGACAAUUAAUAAAAAUAAUUUAUUAUAAUAAAUUUAUAAAUUUUUUAAAAAUUCUACUUAAACUUAAAUUUAAUAAAAAGAUUUAUUAUAAUAUUUAAUAUAAUUUACUAUAAAUUUAUAUAUAUUAAAUAUAAUAGAUAAUUAUUAAUAUAGUAUAAUUAAUAAUUUUAUAAUAAAAUAAUGUAUUAUAAUAUAUAAAUUUUAAAACUUUAAAUUUAAUUUUUAAAUUUUAAAUAAGAAUAGGGUGAGAACAAUUUAAUAAAAACUAUUUAUUAUAAGAAAUUAUAAAUUUUUUUAAAAUUCUACUUAAACUUAAAUUUAAUAAAAAGAAUUUAUUAUAAUAUUUAAAUAUAAUUUAUUAUAAAUUUUAUUAUAAUAUUUAAAUAUAAAUAAUAUGUAUUUAAUAUAGUACAAUUAAUAAUUUUAUAAUAAAAUAAUGUAUUAUAAAUAUAUAAUUUUUAUAUAAUUAGGUUUUAUCUCAAUUUUUAAUUUUAAAUUUUUACAAAUAAGAAUAGGGGUUGAGAACAAUUAAUUAAAACUAUUUUAUUAAAUAAUUAUAAAUUUUAAAAUUCUACUUAAACUAACUUUAAUAAAAAGAAUUUAUUAUAAUAUUUAAAUAUAAUUUUAUUAUAAAUUUUAUUUAUAAUAUAUUAAUAUUUAAAUAAUAUUGUAUUAAUAUCAGUACAUCAUUAAUAAUUUUAUAAUAAAAAUAAUUGUAUUAUAUAUAUAAUAUAUUAUAUUUAUAUAAUUUAUUAUUUUUAAUUUAUAAUUUUAAUUAAAGUUUUUGAAAUUAAGGCAUCUGGAAUAGUGCUAUUCUACAAAAUUUGGUGGAAUGGCAAAUCUCCUUGCUAUUCCGGGAUUAAUCGGAAAUAGCAAGGUUGCCGGAAUAAAAUUAAUUCCGGCCAAAAUUUCACCCCGUUUGCGGAAUAGCGGGGAUCAACUUUCGUAUAUCCCCGCUUAUCCCCCAACCAAACGGGUUAGGUUUAGUGGUAUGGAUUAUCGAUUUGGAAGCUCUAUCAUCGAAAAUGACUUAUGAGUACAAAGGCGAUCGUAGUCAUCAUAGUAUAGUUGCCGGACUCUCUCUCUCUCCCCCUAUAUAUAUAUAUAUAUAUAUAUAUAUAUAUAUAUAUAAUUAAGUUCCUAUGUUUUUAAAAGUAUUAAGUCAUUGGUACUUGUAGGCUUUCAAUCCUUGAGUAAAGGAUCUGCUGUUAAGAUGAUAGUGAUCUCCUAGGGUUGAGUGGAUAGUGGUGGAAUAGUAUGAUCCAACGGAUAGAAAUGGUCAAAAGGGUAAAUUUAAUGACAGAAAACUUACAAGCAUGCAUCUAGUGCUAGGUGCUUUUACAAGCACUAUAGCUGAACCCUCCCUCUCUUUAUAUAUAUAUAGAGAGAGAGAGUGAGAGAGUUUUACUACUAUACUAUCAAUAGUACCAAACGCUUAGCACUACUAAGUAUUCCACCACUAGAUCUACCCCUUUACCAUUUUCAUCCGUAAGAUUAUACCAUUCAACCAACCACCUACUCAAUCCUAGGAGACCAUUAUUAUUCUAACCACACAUCUUUUCAUCCAAGUGACGAAAAUUUUCGUGCACUAAUAUUCUUGGCAGAUUGACUUCACUCUAUU